GAGAGGUAUCUCUCGGCCCACUCGGUAAUGCAUCAUCAUAAUGAGCUCAAUGUGAUUAAGUAGUUAGUCACGGGAUCAUGCAUUACGGAACGAGUAAAGUGACUUGCCGGUAACGAGAUUGAACGAGGUAUUGGGAUACCGACGAUCGAAUCUCGGGCAAGUAACGUACCGAUUGACAAAGGGAAUUGUAUACGGGAUUGAUUGAAUCCUUGACAUCGUGGUUCAUCCGAUGAGAUUAUCAUGGAGCAUGUGGGAGCUAACAUGGGUAUCCAGAUCCCGCUGUUGGUUAUUGACCGGAGAGUUGUCUCGGUCAUGUCUACGUGUCUCCCGAACCCGUAGGGUCUACACACUUAAGGUUCGGUGACGCUAGAGUUGUAGAGAUAUUAGUAUGCGGUUAACCGAAAAUUGUUCGGAGUCCCAGAUGAGAUCCCGGACAUCACGAGGAGUUCCGAAAUGGUCCGGAGGUAAAGAUUUAUAUAUAGGAAGUCCAGUUUCGGCCACCGGGAGAGUUUCGGGGGUUACCGGUAUUGUACCGGGACCACCGGAAGGGUUCCGGGGGUCCACCGGGUGGGGCCACCUAUCCCGGAGGGCCCCAUGGGUUGAAGUGGCAUGGGAACCAGCCCCUAGUGGGCUGGUGCGCCCCACCCAAGGGCCCAAGGCGCCUAGGGUUGGAAACCCUAGGGGGCCGUUGCCCCCCCUGAGGGGGCAUGCGCUCCCUGGUUGGAAACCCUAAGGGGGCCUUUGCCCCCCGAGGGGCCGUCGCCCCAGGGGCCGCCGCCCCCUUCUAGAUGGGAUCAGCAAGGGGGCAUGCGCCACCCCUAGCCCCUAUAUAUAGUGGAGGGGAGGGAGGGCAGUCGCACCUUUUUUUAAGCCCUGGCGCCUCCCUCUCCCUCCCGUGACACCUCUUCCUCCUCUAGUAGCGCUUGGCGAAGCCCUGCUGGAAUCCCGCUGCUUCCACCACCGCGCCGUCGUGCUGCUGGAUCUCCAUCAACUUCUCCUUCCCCCCUUGCUGGAUCAAGAAGGAGGAGACGUCUCCGCUCCGUACGUGUGUUGAACGCGGAGGUGCCGUCCGUUCGGCGCUAGGAUCAUCGGUGAUUUGGAUCACGACGAGUACGACUCCAUCAACCCCGUUCUCUUGAACACUUCCGCUCACGAUCUUCAACGGUAUGAAGAUGCACUCUCCUCUCUCUCGUUGCUAGUUAAUCCAUAGAUUGAUCUUGGUGAUGCGUAGAAAUUUUUUAAUUUCUGCUACGAUCCCCAGCAGUCGGGGCCCGGCGAUCGUUUAGAUUAGGUUUACAGUAGGUUUUAGUAUGGUUUGUGUGAAAUAUGUAAUGAAUUUCGUCCAGUUUAUAGGAAAAGUUCUCGAAAUGUAAUGAAUUUGAUCCGGUCAAUUUGAAAUUUGCUUUGUUUGCACGAAUUUCGUCCGGUUAGUUCAUAUAGUUGUCGAAAGGUAUGCAGGCAGUAUUGGAUGGUAUCCACCAGUGUCCUCGGACAGAUGCCGGUGUAAAUUUGAGGGCCAGCGCUGGAGAUGCCCUAACUAUCAUGCUAUAAUCCCUAAGAGUGCUCCAUUAUUUCGCAGGGAACAGUUAUCCCUCGAUCAAAAUCAGAUCCGCCGUGUUUCGCACUCCUCCCAUGUAAGAGUGUAGACUCUUGCUUACAUAAAAAUGGAGCAAGUGGACGGCACUGUAGCACGUCAUAUCACUCAAACUAGCCCGCCUAACGCGCGGGAAAGCACCGCCCUCGUCAUUUUGUUCUGGAUUUCUAUCAAUCGAUCGCACGAAAAUGUUACGCUUUGCAAGUUCAAAAGGAAAAGGUGGCACACUUACAACUCGUACGCGUCGCGGUCACGCCGCACCCCCGAAAGUCCGGCUCACACGCCGCUCACCAGAGGGGACACGCGUUGUCUUGCAUUUUCACUGACAUGUGGGACUGCAAUUGAAUAAACCGUCGAUAGCCGAAAUCUAAUCGCUCGGCGGGCGUCGGCUGAGAGGAGAGAUACGGGGGAGGGAGAAGAGAUCGCCCGCCCGCCGUGCACGGACUCCAAGAAAUAUGUGGUGAUAAUGUGAGGUGGGCCAUGCGGGAGUCCGCACCGCUUCCAAGCCCGCUUCUUACUGCCCUGGCCCACCAGAACCCCUCCCCCACCCCACCACCUCCCCGCGCGCGCUCCCCCCUCAGAGGCCAGGUGCCCGCAUUCAUAGCAAGUACUACCAGUAAAAUUCUGGGCUAUAAAGGGCAUGUACAAUGGUUGAUAAGAUAGUCUUAUCAUAAGUCUUGCAUGUAAUUUAGAGAUGACAAAAAAACACGUGUACAAUGGAUCAUCUCUUAGCCUUAUCUUCAAUAACUAGUUAUUCCUAAAACAUGGUGAAACAUAUUGUGCUAAGAGAUCAUCUCUUGUCUUCUCGACAAGCCCGCUUAUGUGGAGGAGAGAUAGGCAUGGACAAAGUCAAAAGGAGUGGGAUCUGCAGGAGCUCGUCUCUACACGUGCUCCUAGGUAUAAAAAACUAAUUCUAAAAAAGAGGCAUAAAAAACAAUUGUGUCUAAAAAAAGAAAGGUAAAUAACGUUUGAGAGGAAAUAGAUAGAGAGGAAGUGAGAAAAAGUUGUAACCUUAUAGUAAACACUAUGGUAGUAUUACAUGAGGAAGGAGGGAGUGGUGCACAUGCCAAGUUCACUGGGCUGCCGUGUUUCACACUCCUCCGUCGUAACAGUGGAGACAAUAGGUUUCAUCAAAAAUAAACAAUGAAUACUCGUUGCUCGUCCACUAUAUCAGAAAGAAUACUUUCAUUCGCCGACAUGUGGGACGUCGACCAUCCUGGUCCACUUGCCAUGCACAAAAUUAUCCCGGUCCACCCCGGUCGUAGCGUAGGCUCAACCUUUCCCACUAUAAGUUAGUCAGACGAAGGAACCAUCAUGACUUUGUUGAAUUCCUCUUCUUCAAGAAAACUUACUCUAGCCGCAGUACUGCUACCACACGCGAAGAGUGGAUGGCACUGUACCACGUCAUAUCACUAAAACCCACUAGGCCAAACUAGCCCGCCUAGGAUUUGUACUCCCUCCGUUCAAAGUUAGUAGUACAAAGUUGACUCAUCUAUUUUGAAACAGAGGGACGUCUCUGUACUGCUAUGAUUUUGUGUUGUACGUCUCUGUACUUUCGCUACGAUUUUCCUAACCUAUGAACCAAAUGAGGCCUGAAUGUAUCCGUGUCGACUAUUGUCUGAUCGAUCGCUAAGCCUACAAUUUUAGGAGCUUGGGCUAUUGGCCGAUCGACGACGGAUCAGUAUAAGCGUACCAGGAGCUCAUCAACCCCAACAUUUCUCUUCGGUGAGUGUUUUGCAAGUACUAUAGCUCGCACAGUAGCUAGCCUACUAACACCAAGAAUCAUCAAAUAAGCCUUACUGAUAUGAUAAACAGUUCAAACUUACAUCUAAGCAUGCCAUAUAUUACAUCAAAAGCUGGUGAGGAUACAUCUGUUUCCAUAACUUGGAGAGGGUUCGCAUGAUUCACUAUCAAACAGAAGUAGCAAGUACCGCCCACACAAGACAGUGCAUUAGCCCUAAGAUGGUUUGAUAACAUGCAUCGUUCUGGUAAUUAAACACAGGGCAAUGCAAACUACCCCGAAGGAUUAGCGCGACCAACUAUUUCUUGUCAUCGAUCUCUCGGCCAAUGACCACAACACGGACAACGGCAUGGGAAUCGAUCUCUGGGGCGAUGUCCACAGGACUGACCGCGACAUCAGAAUCGAUCUCUAGGGCGAUGUCCACAGGAUGGACAGCGGCAUCGGAAUCGAUCUCCGGGGCGAUGCCAACAGGACGGACCGCGAUAUCGAAAAUGAUCUCUGGGGCAUUGUCCAUAGGACGGGCCGCGACAUCGGAAUCAUCAAGGACGUCCACCGGCACCUGCACAACCCUAACAUAUUAGCAAGCACAUUGCAAAUAAUUAAAAACCACAACUUUCGGUAAUAAGCCAUUAUUUUUUACCUUGUGCAGCUCAUCGGGGGAUCCGAUCCCUCCGGGGGCCAUCUCCUCGUCCUCGAUGGGGGCCAUCACCUUGCCAGGGGAAUACUGCUUCUCAACGGCGACUAUCUCCUCAAACUCGGUCUUGAGCCGCGCAAAGGUGGCCAUCAGAGUUUCUGGGGUAGGCACGGUGGAGCCCUUGCUGUUCUUCCAACUUUCUUUGAGGAGUUCGUCCGCCAACGUCGUCAACUCUUCGGCCAGUGCUUGUUUCUUGGAGUUCUUCGUCUCCAUGGGUUGGCCCGCCAACAUGGUCAACUCGUUGGUCGGUGCUCGCUUCCUGGAGAUCGCUGUCUCCAGUGGGUUGUCCGCCGGCAACUCUUUGCCUAGUGCUCCAGGAUCCAUCAAUGAACUAACAAACAAAAAGCAAUCGAAAGGAAACCACAAUCGCAAUGAAAACGGGAAAAGAAUAGGCUGUGAGAAUCGGUCGGUGCUUCGCAAAAACAAGAUUCUUGGAAUGAAAAUAUAGCAGCAUCACUGAUUCGCCCACCUUUCCUUCGUCGGUACAGAAUAAAAAUGGCAGAAGUGAGUAGCCUGGAGUGAGGUUUUCUUCAAGAAACGGGAGAAAGGGCUUCAACGAGCGUUCCAGUGAAAUGAUGGUUGCUUUGUCCAGUCCAACUUCGAGGCCACUUUACCACUGCUGGUAAAGGUGUGGGUUUUGUGAUCUGACGGGUCAUGACGGCCACACCGGGGUGACCGGUGAGUUUCGACUGUAGCACCUCGCUGUGAUUUGGUGGAUGGCACGCGGGCCCGGCUGCUUUGUUGUCCCGCAUGUAGAUAGAGCAGCUAGUCAUAUAGGAGUGGUCAAUAUUGUGCACCGCGACCAAGGCAGAGAGGAAAACGAGAGAACUACGUAAUUAAUGCAUGAGUUUAAUUAGGGUAGUUUUGUAAAGUACGAGAUACAUUCCUCCAAUCGCAAAAUGCCUUGGUUGAUGAGAUUUGAGAUUUGAGCCCUAUAAACCGGAAGGGAGAUUUGAGAUUUGAGAUACUGCACGCGGUGUAGUCUAGUCACUUGUUGGAAUCUCUAGAAAGACUUAUACUGCAUGAUUCUUUGCUUCUUCGUACUACUACGUACUACUUCGCCGACAUGUGGGACAGCCAGCAGCAGCCGGGUCGAUGUAAUACGUGUCAUGUACCAGAUUAGAGUGCGGAACGGAAGGGGGGCAUCACCCCGGUCGAUGGCCGUUUCACGCGGAGCAGUCGGUGCACCGGGAAGCGGCGCUCUCUCGGCCGUCGCGCCGCUUCAAAGCUGGCGCCAGUGAGAGGUCGCCUCCGCUCUGGUCGGGCACUAAUGCAGCACUGACACCCCAGGGCGACGCUGACCGUUUCACGCGGGAAGCGCGCGCUGGCAAGGGAGUAUAGGUUUUGAACCGUUUCAUGUGUAGUACUGGUAGUUUGCAUAACUACUCAAUUAUUGCACUCAGUUUCCUAAGAAAUUAUGGUAAAAAACGUUACUCCACAGCCCGCUUCCCUUCUCCUUCCUCUUCCACCGCCCGCGCACGCCCGCGGGAAGCGACCGGUCAACCCUUAUAUAGGAGUGCUAGCACAAAAAGAUGCAUGCAUGACCACUAAAAUUUCCAGAUUAAACAGCCGCUCCGGCGGGAGUAUGGCGUAUGUUGUUACCUUCGGCUGGGCCAUGGCUACCGGGCGACGGCGACCAGAGAAGAGGCGGUGGGAGGGGAAUGAAUGCAGCUACUGUUUGGGUUCGCCGUCCGGCUUAAAUAAAUGCGCAGCAUCACGUGUACCCGCGGGUGCACAAAUUGUAACAUACGUGUCUGCUUAGUGGGCGUCACGUAACUGGUGUGUGUGUGUGUGUGUGUGUGUGUGAGAUUCUGAGAGACAGAGUGCGUGUGUGCGACUCUACUCUUCGGACAUGUACUCAACCUUUUGCAUCGGGAUAUAAGUAUAAUUGUAUUUACUUUAGCUAGUGAUUUAAGUGGCCAUGUUAACAUGGUUGUGUAAAAAAAUGUCACUUCCUGCUCAUGAUUUGCGUUAUAUAAUUACAAGCAAGAUGCGCGUGCAUUGCACGGAACAUCAAUAUGCAUUUUUUUACAAAACACAUGUUGUGAUUUACCCAUGCAGGAGUAAUCCCAUGUGUAAAAACUAAUGAUAUUUUGAGAAUUUUAUCGGAAAACUGGUAUCUCGAGAAUGUCAUCGAAAAAUGAAAGAUGAGAGAUAAGGCGAGGAGGAGUGGAGCGUGGUGGUGACUGGUGGUCGGAAUGGGCGGAGGCAUGGGGAUGGACGGCGCCGGCAGGCGGCAGCGGCCACCAUGCUUGAUUGUUCCGGAGACUUUCUUUUCUAAUUGCUCAGCAAUGAGGUGUGGGAGAUAAGGAUGUGGAGAGAGGUGCAGCUAUCUCUUGUAAAAUUAUCAUAGUUUGCUUUUUAUCCGUCAGAUAUAGAUCAGACGGUCUAUAUUACAAGAUGGCAGGCACACCAUCAUCGCCAACUCGGUUUUUUAUAAGGGUACAAAUGAUAAGUUUGCUAACUACUAAAGUAAAGUGGAAUUUUUCCAUGUUAUACAAGUAAAUUAAGGUGAUUGUUUAUCAUACGGGUAAGGGUGGAUGAAGGGUGGUAGGAACAAAUGCUCUGCCUAGAGCNNNNNNNNNNNNNNNNNNNNNNNNNNNNNNNNNNNNNNNNNNNNNNNNNNNNNNNNNNNNNNNNNNNNNNNNNNNNNNNNNNNNNNNNNNNNNNNNNNNNNNNNNNNNNNNNNNNNNNNNNNNNNNNNNNNNNNNNNNNNNNNNNNNNNNNNNNNNNNNNNNNNNNNNNNNNNNNNNNNNNNNNNNNNNNNNNNNNNNNNNNNNNNNNNNNNNNNNNNNNNNNNNNNNNNNNNNNNNNNNNNNNNNNNNNNNNNNNNNNNNNNNNNNNNNNNNNNNNNNNGUGUGUGUGCGUGUGUGUGUGAUGGAGUCUUACUGUGUGUGUGUGUGUGUGCAUGUGUGUGGGUGGGUGCGUGUGUGUGUGUGUGUGUGUUUGUUUGUGUGUGUGUGUGUCGCGGGGUCUUCGGUGGCAGAUGUAAUUUAAGUGUGCAUGGCUUCCACAUAGAGAGGUGAUGUGUAUGGCAGAGGCCACCAACGAUGGGGUGCGAGAGAGAAAAUGCACGUAGAGAGGGAAGAGAAGGUGUGUGCGCGUGAGAGUAGUCGACAUCGAGAGAACGUGUUUGUUCUAGAGACACCAAGGAAGACUACUAUAUAUCGAUGGUGCAUGUAGGCGGGAACGAAGGGAUGGUCUUAUUGGUUUCGGGGAUAUAGGGGAAGAGUGAGAGGGGGGUAGCUACAAGGAGAUUGUUAAGUGUGAGUGUGUGUUUUACCCAUCCAGGCGGAAGUUAUGUGCACACAAGAAGAGAAUGAUUCGAUGUGGCGUUAGGGUGGAGGGUAAUUAACUAUGUAUGGAGACAUAGAGACCUUCAACGUGCAUGUGUGAGAGGUAUACAUGUAUACGUGGGAUGUGUGUGUGUGCGCGCGCAUGAUCGAGAUAAAAGAAAGAAGACAUAAGUCAUAAGCUAAGAUCAACGACAUGGGAGAGACGGAUCGGUAUGAUAAUAUGGAUGCAUGCGAGAAUGCAGGGAAGAGGGCCCGACAAUUGAGCAUGUGUUUUUGUCUUUAAGAGAUAGUGGCGUGGGCUGGAGCAUGCAUCUAUGGUGAGCAGAGGGAGUGAGGCACAACGAUUGUGGAAAAGAGAUCAACCUAUAAAUGAAAGAAGGUUGAUGGAGAAACAGAUAAAUAGAAAGAUAAAGAUGCUAGCUAGUGUGCGUUAGAGAUAGGAGUCGAGUGGAUCAGAAGGCUGAGUUAUGGGUGUGGGUGUGAGAGAGAUGAAGAAAGGGUGCAUGUGACUCACAUACAAACAAAUAUCAGAGAGAAAUGAGAUCCCGAGAGAUGGAGUUUUGUGUCUGCGAGAGAGAAAGAUAUUUCAAAACGAGAGUGAUAUCUAGAGAAACAUAUGAGGGAACGCAAGAUAUCUCUAGGGAGAGACAGUGUGUGUGUGAGCGACAUGCAAGAGAACAGUGGAGAAAUAUGAGACCCUGGGAGACAGAGUUUGUGUUUGUGUGUGAGAAAGAGAUAUUUAAGAGGAAGAGUUGUAGGUUCUCAUACCUAAGGAGCGAAAGACAUCUCUGUAUUAGGGGUGUGCGAGUAGCACACAGGGGAAUAGUAGAGAGAAAUGAGACCCCGGAAGACAAAGUUUUGUGUUUGUGUGAGAGAAAGAGAUUCCACAUGGAGAAUCAUAGUUAGAGACACAUAGCAGGGAGCGAGAUAUACUUAGAGAGAGAUAGAGUGAUGAAGGUCGAGGGAGAGAGUACCGUUAGUGUGUUACGAAGAUAAAAGAUCAUUGUCGACAUACAGGUAGCACGAGAGAUACCCGAGAGACGAUGAACACUUAUAGGUCUAGAGAGAUAGUCCUAUAUAAGCAUGAGUGAUAGUUAUAUGAGACGAAUAUCUGGAUUAAAUGGGAUUCAAAUAUUUAAACCGGAGAUCACGACAUCGAUAAUGUCAUAACGCAAAUUGGUGUAUCAACCAUGCAUAUUCAUUUGAAUUUCGGGACACGUGUAAUGUUAUAUAGUUUAUCAAUAUUGGUGAUCCAUAGAUCCUUUAAUUAGAAACAAUGCAUGGUUUAUAUGCAAUUAAUGUCUAAACGGGAUGCACUAUAUGUUGCGUGUGUGAAACAUAUUAUACAUGUUUGAGAAGUAAAAAAAAACCCAGCCUGAAACACACAUUAAUUGGAGACAGUUAGCGAGGAAUGCAUACAUUGGAUUUCAACAUAAAGUGGUUUCAAAUAUUUGAAAAUCCAAAUUGAUGGAUACAACCUUAUGAAUCUGAGAUCAUGCCAUUUGUAAACCAUAUUUAUGUAUAAAGGGUGUUGUGCUUUUGAAAGUAUAUAUAAAAAAAUGAUGUAUAUAGAAUUUUAUUCCAAUCGAAAAUGGAUCCCGCCCGAAAAAAAUAGAAUACAAACGGGAUUAGAAUUGAGUUGGCACGGUAAACGUGCACUCUGCAAAAUUUGAACGAAGUGGGGAAAGUCACAGUAACCGCCCGAAACUAAAAUCUGCGAGAUGGAAAUUACUACUGCCUAUCCCUGCCACGCAAAGCCUAUCUGCUCAAUUUCCGUAGGUUUCGAUAGGGGUAGGUUUGUAAUUUCACUCAAACGUGACAUAACCGCCUCUCACCCGGAUUCAUACACGGCGGGCGCCAAAACACAGUGUGUCCUCGGCCGAAAUCGACUCCCUCCCCGAUUCAUACACGGUGGGCGCCAAAAACAAACUCUCGUCGGCAAAUAUUCGGUGUAUGCGAGAUUACCGUCCUAUCCCCAACUGACUAAUAUUGCUGUGAUGUAGGAAAUUUGAAACGGGGGCUAAGUUUGUAAAUUUCCUCGCAUUUGAGACAAGCGCGCCCUGAAGACAUGGUUCCCCCUUCCUCUCCACCUCCAUUUCCCCAUUCGUACUCCGUGGGCACCAAAACACCCUCUCCACCCUAGCCUCCUCCGUCCGCCACCCCAUCCACCGCCGUCCUCCUCCACCAUGCCGGAGCUGAUACGCCGACGCCGCCGUCCAUUACAAGAGAUCGACCUCUCUCAUCCACGGCUUCGAACCGGGAUCCUUGCAUCCUGUCCUCUCGCUUUAUCCCCGCCGUCGUCCACCUUGUCGGCGCCGCUCCUAUGACCGUCUCGUCCACCGCGCCCCGCCGCCACCGUCUACCCUCCUAGAUCUGCUUCCACGCCGCCGACAGCUAUCGCUACCGCAGCACCGUCAAAUUCUCAGCAGAUGCAUAUACGGCGCCGCACCAGAGGCGGUACUCUUUCGUAUCUGCUCAACUUAUUUAUCGCAGCAAGAAAAUAGAUCGCCACUGCUUUACUCUGAUUUCUUGUCCAUCACUUACUUGCUAGUUGAGAGCAAACAUUGGUUGCGAAGUUGCCUUUUUGUCCGGUUUGCACCUUCAGAUCCGCCAUGGCACGCUCAACACUAUACUCCCAAUGCUUAUGGUUUUCCCCUUUUAUAUUCCACACUAGUUAAAUCACAGUAGACUAAAUUUCAAAAUUGGGUCAGUCGAUUUUUCAGAGCUCGCCAGAGUUCGCCGGUGCGAACGAAGGGGCUCGGGUGGGGACUUUGGUUGUGGGGGGCGGUGGUGGGGCCUCGCCGAACGAAGAAAACUCGANNNNNNNNNNNNNNNNNNNNNNNNNNNNNNNNNNNNNNNNNNNNNNNNNNNNNNNNNNNNNNNNNNNNNNNNNNNNNNNNNNNNNNNNNNNNNNNNNNNNNNNNNNNNNNNNNNNNNNNNNNNNNNNNNNNNNNNNNNNNNNNNNNNNNNNNNNNNNNNNNNNNNNNNNNNNNNNNNNNNNNNNNNNNNNNNNNNNNNNNNNNNNNNNNNNUUAAAUCACAGUAGACUAAAUUUCAAAAUUGGGUCAGUCGAUUUUUCAGAGCUCGCCAGAGUUCGCCGGUGCGAACGAAGGGGCUCGGGUGGGGACUUUGGUUGGGGGCGGUGGUGGGGCCUCGCCGAACGAAGGAAACUCGACGCGGGUGGGGGCGGGGGUGGGGGUGGGGGUGGCAGAGGAACACAGGCGGUGGGGGCCGAUGGUCCGGCCAGCAGCCCGUGCGGUGUUCUGUAUGGGAAGAAUCAGAGACGAGGAAGAAGAAGGGUUAGGAGAUGUAGGAUCUUCAUCCAACCGCCUGAAAUGGUCGACUGACCCAAAUGCAGACAUGCCUUUAUAUUCAGUACCAUCAUUGUACCUGUUAGCACUGCUCCUGAAUCCAUCAAGCUAAACAACGUGUCACUCAUAAUUCCAAACUUGUUGUUCAAGUACGAAUCUGAUAUGAUGCUGAUAUUACUAAAACAGAUAACAUUUAAUUGGUCAGCUAAUGUUCCUACUUUACUUUCGAAAAAACACGUGCACCACAUAUAGAGAGACAGCAGUGAGUUGCUUUCUUAAUGCGCUCUGGUUCAUCAUGUCUGGGCACUGCGCAACGAACAUUUUAUUAUCCGAAAUCUGCUUGCUCUUCUUUACCAUGUUCCUCUUCCGUUCACCUUUAAUAAGUACUCUCUCCGUUCCUAAAUAUAAGUCUUUGUAUAGAUUCCACCAUGGACUACAUAUGGAGCAAAAUGAGUGAAUCUACACUCUAAAAUGUAUCUGGAUACAUCUGUAUGUGAUCCAUAGUGGAAAUCUCUACCAAGACUUGUAUUUUGGAACAGAGGGAGUAUGGUAGUAGUACAGUAUGUUCCUUGUAGUGAAGAUAAGCAGGGACAUUUGCAGUGUAGAGGUCUAUACGGUCGGUUGGUAUGGACACUUUGAACUCGUCGGACAUCUUUGAUUCGUAGGAUUUUGUAAACAUGGGAAUAUGAUUUGUAGUGGCCUGCCCACUUGAAUCCUAUAAGAAUAACAAGAAAAUGCGGGGAGCUGUGUCGCCUUUGAGAGUUACACUGAUAUUAACAGUACCGCACCUUCAGUUGAAGAGAGCUGGUAUCCGAAGCCUUUCUAGCCGUACCGGCAAUACUAGCACAUAUAUUCCAGCAAGUUCCACUUUGCUGAUUUUACUAUGAUGCUUAUGGUUUUCCCGUUAUAUCUACACUAUGAUCUGUGUACCUGCUUUGUGUCGCACUAGCAGCAGACCACUCUUGAAGCUAAACACCGCAAUGACUUACAAAAUUGGCACCAAGGCAUUGAGUGCCAUUCUGGAUGCAAUGAAACUCAUACACUCCCCACCUGUUGACUCUUGUUCAGAAUAUGAUCCUAAUGACUCUUGUUCAAAAUUGCCACAUAUAGAGAGACAACAUGGAAUUGCAUUUCUUUGGGCGCUAUGAUUCAUCAUGAGUGGGCAACCAACAUUGUAUGCAAUUAAGAGGAACCUCAAGAAUAUGCUUCCUCUUCUGUUCUUUAACAUGUUCCUAUUUUGUUAUUCUGUAUUUAGUACAUACAGUAUGUUCCUUGUCAGGAAGGGGAGCAGGGACAUCUGCAGUCAACAGCUGAUAGAGCUGGCAUGUACUUGAUCGAUAGGCUUUCAAUUACUAGCGGCAAUACAACACCGUAUUUUCAAGCCAGUUCCACUUUCCCGAUUUAUAUAUCGUGGUUAUGGUGUACCCCUUUUAUGUACACUAUGAUCUGCCUAGUUGCUGUGUGCUCUUGCUAUCAUGGUUUGGCAAUAAACUCUCUAUACAGUACAUUUUGAACCUAUCAUCUGCCAACUAUCCUACUUCUGGAGCCCAUUUUUUGUGUACUUGUGCCAGAUUAUAUAAAUGCACGCACCAUAUUACAUCACACAUGAGCUCUCUCAUCAGAAUCCAGUGAUAGCACACAAGUGUUUAUAGGGGCGCCGCUAUAUUAGAAUAUUCUCUGCAUUACAAAGAUAAUCUCACAACUAUUUAUGUUUUCAUGGUUCUUAGAUAUUAUAUGUAAUUACAGUGAAUAUGAGAAUCCGCGCAUCAGAAGAAUAUUGUGGAACACUGCAAUGACUUGCAAAAUUGGCACCAAGGCAUUGAGUGCCAUUCUAGAUGCAAUGAAACUCAUACGCUCCCCACCUGUAGAUUCUUGUUCAGAAUAUGAUCCUAAUGACUAUUCUAACCUCGAGGAGUCAAAGGCAGAUGGCCUGUCAUGUUCACCCAUCAAGGUGCCUGCUCUAAUUUGGAAAGGUUUUAUUGAUUGCGCGUAUCUUGCAUAUGUUGUCUUGCAUUUCUUCUACUUUGUUGCACCGCCAUCUGCUUAGUUUACUCAUCAUAUAUGUCGAGAUGUCAUGCCCAUCCAUUAUCAAUACAUAUUCCAUCUGUCAUCAUACCAUGUUUUUCCACUCAAAUGCUGUUCUUGUGCAUCAGACAUCAAAAAGGAAGAGGGUGAUUGCCGAACCUGAAGGAGCACCAGCAAAGUCCUUGAAAAAUGUGGUUGUGCCAGAGAAAUCAGACAGCACCCCACUUAUAUUGGCUGUACAAUCAGUGAUACAAAACGUAGGACCGACUCCAGCAGACUGUACCCAUACUUCACUGGCCACACCACUAGCCCCACCACACAGGACCUGCACUCCAGCAAAAUGUAUGCCGAUUUCAGUUGCCAUAGCACCAGCCGUACCACAGAAAAAUCCCACUCCAGCAAAAAGUACAGCAAGUCCACCGGCCGAAGACCUAUCCCAACUGCAGAGACGGCCAAUUCCUGCAGAUUGGAACCCCAUUCCAGUUAUUCCCAGUUUAAAAGACAAUGCUUUCAAUGUUGUUAGGGACUACGUGCAUACAUUCCCAUCAUUGGAAGAUUAUAGUGAAGGCAAACACCAUUUUCACAUCUUCCUGUCCCACUUACGUGUAAGUGAUAUUAUUCAUGGUGAUUAUUUUCCUAUUUUCUGCUGAUUGAACACAUCAAUGAUUUACAUUACAUUGUUGUAAGUAGGCAAGGGUCAAUCUGGAUAGUCAUGACGAGCAAAGCUUGCUUGCGCUUUUGAAGGAAGCAUUGCAACAGUAUUGGUGUUACCUGAGGAAAUCACACUUUGAUGGCAAGUCUAUAAACGAAUUUCUGGUGAAGUCUCCUGUGCUAAAUUUAGAAGACAUUGAAUGGAAAAACAAUGUUAUGCACUGGUCUCGUUCCGAGGAUGAGGUACUGUCUAUGAUAUCGCAUGACAAUUUGAACUUCUACUUUUCCGCAUGUGCCUUACGGAUCUUUUUUGCAGAAAAUCUGCUCGAAAAAGAAUUCCGGUUUGAAAAGAACAACAUGAUAUCGCAAAUAUGCUUCCCGUUGCUUUGCUCUUGUUAGUACCUGUUGACAUGUAUCACUGUACUUGCAUACAUACCUGGUUCAUUAUGUGACAGCAGUACGCAUGAUAGCUUGCUUAUCAAUUGUUCGCUCCAAAUUAUCUGAUCUGUAUGAAUGGUUACAUUAAUGUAGAAUAUAUCCAAUGCCAAUGAAUUUUUUUAGCUCUGCAUUGUUCUUGUAAGUACCUGCUGUCCUUUAUCAGUGUACUUAUAUUGACACGUAGUUGUUCAUGUAUCAUCACUCUGCAGCUUAUUUUCCUUUGCCCUCCAUUUUCUACACAUAAGAUCUAUAUUUACUCUUACCAUAAGGUUGGAUAACACCGAUGGUACUGAAGAAGUUUAGCUCUGCAUUGCUCUUGGCUAUACCUUUUGCCUGUAUCGCUGUACUUACAUUUAUAGAUACUUGGUUAUGUAGCAUCACUCUUCAUCUUAUCUUAAAUAUUCUCCAUUUUUUCUUAUAUUGUCACAUCUAUAUUUACUCUUAACAAAAUGUAGAAUAAAGGCAAUGUUUAUGAAGAAGAUUCUGUGGUAAACUUCUUGAAUUGCCCCCCCAUCAGCAUGGACAAGGGCUUUAUAGAGCAUGCCUUCACCAAUAAUGUAAGUUUGUCCUUCUCAAGCCUUCAAACUUUGUUGUGUAUAUUUGGUUAGGCAUGACUGCAACAGCUGUUUAUUUUUUGUGUUUGCAUCAAAUUGCAUGUUUAAAGUUUAUUAUGUACUCCAGUUCAUAAACAAAAGUUUGUCCUUCUCAAUUUAAGUUUUCAGUUGUACAACCAAGUUUCUUCUUCAUACCAUGUAAAUUAAACUAUACAGAGCAAGUGAUCUUAUUUUGGCAAUCUGAAAUGGGAUAAAUUGACAGCACACUAACCAUUGAUACUUAUGAGUUCUUGAUCUGUAAUCCAGUGGUGUCAUGAAGAUGCCAACUCCUUCACAAUGUCAUUUCCUGCCAUGUCUUGACCUGAACAAUACCAUAUUGUGUUAAUGCUAUUUUAAACUGUGUCACUUUAUUCGUUAGUAAGAAAUGUGAUGAAUUGUCAGCACUGAUACUUGUAUGUGAAAAACCUGUCAUCUGUCUGCUUUGUUUAUCUUUCAGAGUGAGGAGGAUAUAAGUGUCAAACAAGUGCAGUCUCACCAGCUUGCUCAGCUGCUUGCGCUGCAGCUCCCGAGCAGGGCUAACCUUUCUUGAACUCUAUUGAAGUGCUGCCGGUUUUGUAUAUUAUUUUGUCGGCGUGUUUAGUUGCACUGGUGGCGAUCUUUGAUGCCCAGUGUAUGUAAUCUGCUGUCUGCUUGUGCUUUAUUAUCAUAGUGGCGAACUUUGAUGCCCAGUGGAUGUAAUAUGCCGUAAUUUCUUUAUUGUAUAGUCUAGGUUUUUUUCUUAUUCGCGAUGCUGCAGUUAUUUUACUGUAUAUAUAUCCCGUCUUCGUAGUAAACCGGCCAAACCGUGAAAUUACGGUACAUAAUUGGGCCGUCAUGCAAAUCACCAUGUAUGAUCCACAUCAUAGGCCCCAUCAUCUUGGUCCGUUAACAUGCCUAAAUGUAAACUGGCCCACUAGUAGAUUCAGGCCUUUAAUAGGCCGAGUAAACCGCCGGCCCUAUUUUCCCAAGAAAACUCAAUGGGCCUUUAGGAGGCUGAAAAGUAGGUUUGGCCUGAAACGUGCCGAACAGCUCACGGGCCGGCAGCAGGCCGAAAUAGACCCUGGCCCAUGAAUGGGCCAAUCAAAUCAUGGGCUUAUAACAGGCCAAAAAUGUCUCGGUCGUUGUUCGGCCUAAUCAGAUUAUCAGCUGCGAGCAGGCCGGAUGCAAACCGGGCCGUAGUUAGGCCCAACUAUAUGACGGGCUUUUAACAGGCCGAAAUUAAUAUAGGGCCGAAAUGUUAAACGGGCCCUUAACAGGCCGAAACUAAUAUCAGGCCAAAUUACUAAAUGUGCCUUUAGCAAGUGGGCCCAAAAGCAUAGCGUCAAGUUGACGGGCCGAAUCUGAUAUGGGCCAUAAUUUAGCCCAAAGCGUCUUAAAGGGCCGGACUAGAUCUGGGCCGUAAUUUGGCCCAGAACGUGGUAGGCUUUUAACGGGCCGGAUCUCAUAUGGGCCAUUAUUAGGCCUGGAACGUGGCAGACCAUUAAUGGACCGGAUCAAAUAUGGGCCGGCAUUUGGCCCAAAACAUGGCAGCCAGUUAAUGGGCCGGCCUACUAGGGUCCUCAAAAUCUUGUUCGCCUACAGCUGGGCCAGCCCAUUAAUGUCGGCGAAAUCUCGUAGGCCUUUAGCUGGGCCGGCCCAUUAUGGUCCACAAAAUUCUUGUGGGCCUUCACCUGGGCCGGCCCAUUAUCGCCCACAAAAAUCUUGUGGGCCUUUACCUGGGCCGACCCAUUAUGGCCCGCAAAAACUUGCGGGCCUUCAGCUGGGUCGGCCCAUUAUGGUCCGCAAAAUCUUGUGGGCCUUUAGUUGGGCUGGCCCAUUUAAACUUUAUGGGCCACUUUUGGGCCGGUCCACGUGUUAACAUAACAUAGGCGCAUCUCGCCCAUUAGAUGAGUGACACCUGUGUCAACACGGAGCUGACACGUGUUUCCUACAGCCAAUGAUGAUUUUACACGUGGAAAAUCCCCAUUGGUUUGGGCUGUUAACGGGUUAUCGGAUCCAAAAUCGGGCCCGAUAGCUUAACGGUGUUCCGUUACGGUGGAUGCCACGUGUCGAUCACCCUUGAUGAAAGCACUUCUGUGACGCGCGAUUUAUUAUCAUGGAAGUGGAAACUUCGUGAUGAUAAUUUUGGCAAUGUCAUGGAACACUUCUACGACAGCACAUGUAUGACUAUCUUGAUUCUGUCAUAAAUUUGUCAUGGAUGUACAUGCAUGACAGAAAACGUGACCUACUGUGACAAACACAUAUCAUCACGGAAGUGUAUUUUUUUGUAGUGCUGAAAGGAUCACAUUGGUCGGCAACGACGGAAGUGAAAAUUUUGGUUCAUUAAUACCACAGAGUUCGGGAACUCUCCCCAAACUAAAUCCUCAAUAUUUUCCUCCCACAUUGAUCGGAGGUGAGGUUUCGUAAUCAUGAUAAGCAUGACGACCCAAAGAAAGGAACCGAUAGCGCGACUAUUUUCUUUGGAAGAUGUUUCUUACGUUAAAACGUAAUAUAACAUAUCUCUCCGUGUACCUUUGUUUAUAAAACCGUAUGGCCGGAUUGCCUUGUUUUCCAUAAAUCUUUGCCCUUAUAACGGCUUUAUAAAGUAGGAAAACACUCCUCGGCUACUGGCCGAUGAGGUUGAAGCUGAUGGUCGGUCAACAAAGUUUUGUACAAUGUGGAUCCGAGCAUUAAUGAUGUAAAGUACUUGGAUACAUAGAGUCAUUGCAAAUAAUUUGUGAUUUUACUAUGGAUAUCGAUCCUUAAUUCGGCCACCCGUGCCCACAUUAAGGCUCGGGGGCUACUGGGCUUCGGGCGCAUUAUUUAUAAAUAUUAAAGGGGCACAUCGAUUCCCUGAUCUGGUGUUGCCACCCGACCAGUGGCUCGGGGGCUACUGCAUUGCCUAUUCAAUGUAGAAAAUUCAAAGUGCUCAGUGUUCGGCUUGACCGAACUCCAGGCAAACGCGUCUUCGGACUUAUCCGACAUCAAGCUAAUGUAUUACGGCAACUUCUCAAGACCCUCUCUCAAGGGCCCCGUUCGCCGAUCACUAUUUCCUCUAAUAUAUUACACCGCGUUUCUAUUCCUAAGUAUGCUGCCGAGCUGGGAAUUGAUCCUCAGGCCGAUUUCACGAAUCGACCAGAGUCUCAGGGGCUACUGAGAAAAGCGGUUUGAUUUUAUCCUUCAGGUGCAUCCCAGAUAUUAUGCCAACACGCACCUUGAGGGCUAUUGGCUAUACAUCUCGGCAAAGAAUACAUUGCACAAAUCAGAAUUAAAUUCAUAAAAAUCAGCUCAUGGCCGAGGUGAUGCUCGGAUAUAGUUCGGCGUUGGUGCUCGGCUGCAAAAGAUAGCUUGGAAGUAGUCCGGCAUAAAGCUCCGUUGCAAGUGGCUGGCUCCAUAGAGGGCAUCUCCGGCAUUAAGCUUGGUUUAACCUCCUUCAAACUUUUCAAACUAAGGUGAUCUAUGACACCUUGGAUAUAGUCCGGCGUUGGAGCUCGGAUACAGUCCGGCGUUGGAGCUCGGAUACAGUCCGGCGUUGGUGCUCGGCUGCAAAAGAUACCUCAAGGCAGUCCGGCGUUGGAGCUUGGAUGCAAAAGGACACCACCGCACGGGAACAGCUUCAAACCCAAGGUGUGGCGUAAAAAAUUACAAGGCAUUGAUAAAGGCCGAAAACUUGAAGGUCUCCUCGGAUGACCGACGUGUGAACUCUUCGGAUUUAGCUCGGCGAUCCUCAAGAUCGAAGAUGGGAAGAUUUGUUGAACUAAUUUUCAAGACCGACGACUGAAGAUGAAGAACAGUUUGGAAGAAUCGAGGAGCGUCCCCAACUUGAAGACCGGUUCAGGGGGCUACUGAAGGUGUCCUGGACUAGGGGUACUCACCACGUCGUCUCCCGACCAGCUGGAUCGGGCCGAGGACCCCCAUGGCGGUUCACUAUUGGGCCAGCUCGGACAGCCCAUGCCGCAUAUAAGAAGGAUUCCACAAGACUUGGCGCCCAAGCCAAGGACUCCCCUAAAACCCUAGGCCUCCGGUGUGUUGUAUAAACCGAGGCCAGGCUAGUCAAUCGACAAUCUCAUAUUCAUUACUACAAUCUCGUGGUAGAUACAUGUACUCUAUACUACACCCAUAUGAAUACAAUCAAAAGCAGCAUGUAGGGUAUUAUCUCUUCGAGAGAGCCCGAAGCUGGGUAAAACCCCGUGUCCAUGUUACCAUCACUCCAAGAUGCCUAACUUAGGACCCCUACUACGAGAUACGCCGGAUAUUGAACCGACAGUCGCGGCUAGCCACAACGGUCAGUGUGGCUACCCGGGAACAAGGGCGGCGAGCCGGGGAGCUUCGGCGUCGGUCAUGUGGCUCUCAUCCCGUGUGCGCGCCAGCAUUUCAUUCAGGUCGAGACGCGAAACAUAAAAGAUGUGAUGGGGACGAAGAGGCGUGAUCUCCCAAUCGCGUGUGCACCGCGAGGUCAAAACCAACCGCGAUGAUCGAACGUCAAACAACACAGAAAUGACCCGUUUGACCAGCAUUUGAUGUGUCAAAUAGAAGGAGAUCGAGCGAGCCUCCUGGAGCCGAGUCUCCCAAUCACCUUAUAGGUUAGAAUGAGUUGGGGUCAUAGUAUUGCAUUACAUGAGCUGGGGUAAAGCACGAUAGGAGAGAAAAAGGCCUGCCACCGCUGUCCGCAGAUGGUAACGUCAACCGUCGGCGCCGAGAAGGUAAAGGUCGUGGGAGGCGUUGUGGUGACGGUGUUGGGUUACCGCCUGAGUCUCCCUAGCGAGUGUUGCGGGAGCUGCCUUGUUCUCCGUUGUCGUUCAACCUUGUGGUCACACUCGACGAUGAGAAUCAGGAACUUGGAAUAAAACAUGCUAGCGUAGCCUCUUUUCUCAAUCCAAUAUCGUUUUAUAUAAAAUUUCAUCGUCACUUAUUGGCCAAUACGCAUUAUGCAUGCGAUUUUUCUAAGGUGGCUGAUGUUGAGCUCUCUUCAAUAAAUAAAUUUCUUAAUUUAAAAAUUGAUUGACCCAUUAAUGACUAUAUAAUCCUAUCAACAAAUGACUAUAUAAUCUGAUACAAGAGUUAAUGACUAAUCUCUUCCUCCGGGUUUAUUGGAUCAUAAAUUUUUACUAAGAAAAUACACGUUAGCUGGAUGUAAGUUGCCUGAAAAUUAAAUUUGUGUCAAUCAACUUUUCUGACCGUUGAUUGAUGCUUCAAGAUUCGUGCUUUUUUUUCUGCUAUGUGAUAUGUCUUGUUUUGGGCUGGAAAUUUUUGAUUGGCCCCUUUAUUUUGGGUCUAUCAAUUCCUUAACAGUCUGGCCCAUUAAGCUGUGCAACCCAACAUGCUCUAUGUCGCCCAUCUGAUGACCAGGCCCUCCCUCUCUCCCUUUGUUUUUUCUGUUUUCUGUUUUUAUGUGUUUUUUUGUUUUUGUUUUCUGUUUUUCUUUAUUAGUAUAUUAUUAUUUUUAUUUUCAGGUUAUUUUUGGAAUGUUAGGUGAGUUUAAAUAUAUAGGCACAAGUACUAUACAAUAUGUGCAAAAAUUGCAAUAUUAUAUGAUUAUUAUUUUGCAUACCAAAGAGUGCAAUUUCAAUGCAAAUUUGUGUGCAAGUUUACUAAAAUAUUUUAUUUCUUCUUAGAGGGUAACACCAACGUCACUAUUUCAUUAUUCCUUAUAAAACUUCACUGUUUUGAUUUAUUUUUAGUUUUAGUUUUAAUUUCUACUUCCUUUAAGAGUAGUACCAAUGCCAAUAUUUCAUUCUUAGGAAACUCUUUUUUGUGUAGAUCGUGUGUAAAUUAUUUUAUUGUUUAUUUUAGAUUUAUUUCAUUUUCUUUCUUCUAAAGGGUAAUACCUAAAAAAAUCAUUCUUUAUUAGAAAACUUUAUUAUUCUGAUUUUGUUUUAGUAUUUUUUUCAAUUUCUUUCUUCCUAAAGGGUAAUAUCAAUGCGACAAAUUCAUUCUUCUUACAAAAAAAUCAUUACAUUGAUUUUUGUUUUGCUUUUGCUUUUAUUUUAUUUCAUCUGUACGGGUAAUACCAAUGCCACUAAUUCAUUCCUUCUUACAAAACUUUCACUAUUAUAUGUUUAUUCUUGCAUAUUAUAAGAAAAUGCAAUUUCUGUGUAAAUUGUAUGCAAAUUUUCUCAUGGUUUGUUUUAGUUUUUUUUUCAUUUUUUUCUUGAAGGGCAAUAGUAUGGCCACUAAUUCAUUCUUUCUUGGAAUGUUUUUUAUUUUAUUUUAGUUUUUAUUUCAUUUUAUUUCUUCUUAAAGGGUAAUACUAAUGCCACUAAUUCAUUUUUCCAUAGAAAACUUAAUUAUUUUGAUUUGUUUUUAGUUUUUUUCAUUUACUUUCUUCUUAAAGUGCAAUGAAAAAUGCCACAAAUUCAUUCUUCCAUAGAAAAAUUAAUUAUUUUGAUUCUACUUUUGCUUUAAUUUAUUUUAUUUCAUCUUUAAGGGUACUACCAAUGCCACUAAUUCAUUCGUUUGUGGGAAACAUUCUUUUGCGAAAAUGUCACUAUUAUAUGUUUCUUCUUGCAUAUUAUAAAAAGUGCAAUUUCUAUGAAAAAGUAUGCAAAUUUUGUCAUUGUUUGUUUUACUUAUUUUAUUUUUCAUAAAGUAUCAAUGCCACAAAUCCAUUCUUUCUUAGCAACUUUGUUAUUUUUAUUUUCUUUCUUCUUUAAUAGUAAUACCAAUGCCACUGAUUCAUUCCUUCUUAGGAAACUUUGUUUUCGCGAUGAUUCUAUUAUUAUAUGCUAGUACUUAAAUGUGUAAUAGAAAUGCGUAAUUUCUGUGUAAAGUAUGUGCAAUUUUUGUUAUUCUUUGUUUUUUUAUUUUUGUUUCUUCUUGAAGGGUAAUACUUAAAUGUUUUGAUUUUUAGGUUUUAUUUUAGGGAUUUUCUCGAAUAUGUUUUUAUUUUAGGGAUUAAACGAGUCCGAUUAAUUUAUUUCUUAAACCUUGCAUUUUUGCAUAUGUAUGCAUGUAGUCCUAUAGUCCUAUCAAUUCAUCCAGGAAAGCUCAGGUGAGUAGACAUGCGAGUAAUGCUACAUUUGUUGAAAACGUAGUAAUUUCAAAAAAAUUCCUACGCACACGCAAGAUCAUGGUGAUGCAUAGCAACGAGAGGGGAGAGUGUUGUCCACGUACCCUCGUAGACCGACAGCGGAAGCGUUAUCACAACGCGGUUGAUGUAGUCGUACGUCUUCAUGAUCCGACCGAUCAAGUACCGAACGUACGGCACCUCCGAGUUCUACACACGUUCAGCUCGAUGACGUCCCUCGAACUCCGAUCCAGCCGAGCGUUGAGGGAGAGUUUCGUCAGCACGACGGCGUGGUGACGAUGAUGAUGUUCCACCGACGCAGGGCUUCGCCUAAGCUCCGCAACGGUAUUAUCGAGGUGUAAUAUGGUGGAGGGGGGCACCGCACACGGCUAAUAGAUCUCAAGGAUCAAUUGUUGUGUCUCUGGGGUGCCCCCCUGCCCCCGUAUAUAAAGGAGCAAGGGGGAGGCAGCCGGCCAAGGGGAGAGGCGCGCCAUAGGGGGGAGUCCUACUCCCACCGGGAGUAGGACUCCUCCUUUCCUUGUGGGAGUAGGAGAAGGGAAGGGGGAAGGAGAAAGAAGGAAGGGUGCGCCCCCCUUCCCUAGUCCAAUUCGGACCAGAACAUGGGGAGGGGUGCGGCCACCUUUUGAGGCCUUUCUCUCCUUUCCCGUAUGGCCCAUUAAGGCCCAAUACGAAUUCCCGUAACUCUCCGGUACUCCGAAAAAUACCCGAAUCACUCGGAACCUUUCCGAAGUUCGAAUAUAGUCGUCCAAUAUAUCGAUCUUUACGUCUCGACCAUUUCGAGACUCCUCGUCAUAUCCCCGAUCUCAUCCGGGACUCCGAACUCCUUCGGUACAUCAAAACUCAAUAAAACUGUCAUCGUAACGUUAAGCGUGCGGACCCUACGGGUUCGAGAACUAUGUAGACAUGACCGAGACACGUCUCCGGUCAAUAACCAAUAGCGCGACCUGGAUGCCCAUAUUGGCUCCCACAUAUUCUACGAAGAUCUUUAUCGGUCAGACCGCAUAACAACAUACGUUGUUUCCUUUGUCACCGGUAUGUUACUUGACCGAGAUUUGAUCGUCGGUAUCUCAAUACCUAGUUCAAUCUCGUUACCGGCAAGUCUCUUUACUCGUUCCGUAACACAUCAUCCCGCAACUAACUCAUUAGUCACAAUGCUUGCAAGGCUUAUAGUGAUGUGUAUUACCGAGUGGGCCCAGAGAUACCUCUCCGACAAUUGGAGUGACAAAUCCUAAUCUCGAAAUACGCCAACCCAACAAGUACCUUUGGAGACACCUGUAGAGCACCUUUAUAAUCACCCAUUUACGUUGUGACGUUUGGUAGCACACAAAGUGUUCCUCCGGUAAACGGGAGUUGCAUAAUCUCAUAGUCAUAGGAACAUGUAUAUGUCAUGAAGAAAGCAAUAGCAACAUACUAAACGAUCGAGUGCUAAGCUAACGGAAUGGGUCAAGUCAAUCACGUCAUUCUCCUAAUGAGGUGAUCUCGUUAAUCAAAUGACAACUUAUGUCUAUGGCUAGGAAACAUAUCCAUCUUUGAUUAACGAGCUAGUCAAGUAGAGGCAUACUAGUGACACUCUGUUUGUCUAUAUAUUCACACAUGUAUUAUGUUUCCGGUUAAUACAAUUCUAGCAUGAAUAAUAAACAUUUAUCAUGAUACAAGGAAAUAAAUAAUACUUUAUUAUUGCCUCUAGGGCAUAUUUCCUUCAAUCUCCCACUUGCACUAGAGUCAAUAAUCUAGAUUACACAGUAAUGAUUCUUACACCCAUGGAGCCUUGGUGUUGAUCAUGUUUUGCUCGUGGAAGAGGCUUAGUCAACGGGUCUGCAACAUUCAGAUCCGUAUGUAUCUUGCAAAUUUCUAUGUCUCCCACCUGGACUAAAUCCCGGAUGGAAUUGAAGGGUCUUUUGAUGUGCUUGGUUCUCUUGUGAAAUCUGGAUUCCUUUGCCAAGGCAAUUGCACCAGUAUUGUCACAAAAUAUUUUCAUAGGACCCGAUGCAUUAGGUAUGACACCUAGAUCGGAUAUGAACUCCUUCAUCCAGACUCCUUCAUUUGCUGCUUCCGAAGCAGCUAUGUACUCCGCUUCACAUGUAGAUCCCGCCACGACGCUUUGUUUAGAACUGCACCAACUGACAGCUCCACCGUUCAAUGUAAAUACGUAUCCGGUUUGCGAUUUAGAAUCGUCCGGAUCAGUGUCAAAGCUUGCAUCAACGUAACCAUUUACGAUGAGCUCUUUGUCACCUCCAUAUACGAGAAACAUAUCCUUAGUCCUUUUCAGGUAUUUCAGGAUGUUCUUGACCGCUGUCCAGUGAUCCACUCCUGGAUUACUUUGGUACCUUCCUGCUAGACUUAUAGCAAGGCAUACAUCAGGUCUGGUACACAGCAUUGCAUACAUGAUAGAGCCUAUGGCUGAAGCAUAGGGGACAUCUUUCAUCUUCUCUCUAUCUUCUGCAGUGGUCGGGCAUUGAGUCUUACUCAACUUCACACCUUGCAACACAGGCAAGAAUCCUUUCUUUGCUUGAUCCAUUUUGAACUUCUUCAAAACUUUGUCAAGGUAUGUGCUUUGUGAAAGUCCAAUUAAGCGUCUUGAUCUAUCUCUAUAGAUCUUGAUGCCCAAUAUAUACGCAGCUUCACCGAGGUCUUUCAUUGAAAAACUCUUAUUCAAGUAUCCCUUUAUGCUAUCCAGAAAUUCUAUAUCAUUUCCAAUCAGUAAUAUGUCAUCCACAUAUAAUAUCAGAAAUGCUACAGAGCUCCCACUCACUUUCUUGUAAAUACAGGCUUCUCCAAAAGUCUGUAUAAAACCAAAUGCUUUGGUCACACUAUCAAAGCGUUUAUUCCAACUCCGAGAGGCUUGCACCAGUCCAUAAAUGGAUCGCUGGAGCUUGCACACUUUGUUAGCUCCCAUUGGAUCGACAAAACCUUCUGGUUGCAUCAUAUACAACUCUUCUUCCAGAAAUCCAUUCAGGAAUGCAGUUUUGACAUCCAUUUGCCAAAUUUCAUAAUCAUAAAAUGCGGCAAUUGCUAACAUGAUUCGGACAGACUUAAGCAUCGCUACGGGUGAGAAGGUCUCAUCGUAGUCAAUCCCUUGAACUUGUCAAAAACCUUUCGCAACAAGUCGAGCUUUAUAGACAGUAACAUUACCAUCAGCGUCAGUCUUCUUCUUGAAGAUCCAUUUAUUUUCAAUGGCUUGCCGAUCAUUGGGCAAGUCAACCAAAGUCCAUACUUUUUUCUCAUACAUGGAUCCCAUCUCAGAUUUCAUGGCCUCAAGCCAUUUUGCGGAAUCUGGGCUCACCAUCGCUUCUUCAUAGUUCGUAGGUUCGUCAUGGUCUAGUAACAUGACUUCCAGAACGGGAUUACCGUACCACUCUGGUGCGGAUCUUACUCUGGUUGAUCUACGAGGUUCAGUAAUAACUUGAUCUGAAGUUUCAUGAUCAUCAUCAUUAACUCCCUCAGUAAUUGGUGUAGGUGUCUCAGAAACUGGUUUCUGUGAUGAACUACUUUCCAAUAAGGGAGCAGGUAUAGUUACCUCAUCAAGUUCUACUUUCCUCCCACUCACUUCUUUCGAGAGAAACUCCUUCUCUAGAAAAUUUCUGAAUUUAGCAACAAAAGUUUUGCCUUCGGAUCUAUGAUAGAAGGUAUAUCCAACAGUCUCCUUUGGGUAUCCUAUGAAGACACAUUUCUCCGAUUUGGGUUCGAGCUUAUCAGGUUGAAGUUUCUUCACAUAAGCAUCGCAGCCCCAAACUUUAAGAAACGACAACUUUGGUUUCUUCCCAAACCACAGUUCAUAAGGCAUCGUCUCAACGGAUUUUGAUGGUGCCCUAUUUAACGUGAAUGCAGCCGUCUCUAAAGCAUAACCCCAAAACGUUAGCGGUAAAUCAGUAAGAGACAUCAUAGAUCGCACCAUAUCUAGUAAAGUGCGAUUACGACGUUCGGACACACCAUUACGCUGUGGUGUUCCGGGUGGCGUGAGUUGCGAAACUAUUCCGCAUUGUUUCAAAUGUAGACCAAACUCAUAACUCAAAUAUUCUCCUCCACGAUCUGAUCGUAGAAACUUUAUUUUCUUGUUACGAUGAUUUUCAACUUCACUCUGAAAUUCUUUGAACUUUUCAAAUGUUUCAGACUUAUGUUUCAUUAAGUAGAUAUACCCAUAUCUGCUUAAAUCAUCUGUGAAGGUGAGAAAAUAACGAUAUCCGCCACGAGCCUCAACAUUCAUCGGACCACAUACAUCUGUAUGUAUGAUUUCCAACAAAUCUGUUGCUCUCUCCAUAGUUUCGGAGAACGGUGUUUUAGUCAUCUUGCCCAUGAGGCACGGUUCGCAAGUACCAAGUGAUUCAUAAUCAAGUGGUUCCAAAAGUCCAUCAGUAUGGAGUUUCUUCAUGCGCUUUACACCGAUAUGACCUAAACGGCAGUGCCACAAAUAAGUUGCACUAUCAUUAUCAACUCUGCAUCUUUUGGUUUCAAUAUUAUGAAUAUGUGUAUCACUACUAUCGAGAUUCAACAAAAAUAGAACACUCUUCAAGGGUGCAUGACCAUAAAAGAUAUUACUCAUAUAAAUAGAACAACCAUUAUUCUCUGAUUUAAAUGAAUAACCGUCUCGCAUCAAACAAGAUCCAGAUAUAAUGUUCAUGCUCAACGCUGGCACCAAAUAACAAUUAUUUAGGUCUAAAACUAAUCCCGAAGGUAGAUGUAGAGGUAGCGUGCCGACCGCGAUCACAUCGACUUUGGAACCAUUUCCCACGCGCAUCGUCACCUCGUCCUUAGCCAAUCUUCGCUUAAUCCGUAGCCCCUGUUUCGAGUUGCAAAUAUUAGCAACAGAACCAGUAUCAAAUACCCAGGUGCUACUGCGAGCAUUAGUAAGGUACACAUCAAUAACAUGUAUAUCACAUAUACCUUUGUUCACCUUGCCAUCCUUCUUAUCCGCCAAAUACUUUGGGCAGUUCCGCUUCCAGUGACCAGUUUGCUUGCAGUAGCAGCACUCGGUUUCAGGCUUAGGUCCAGACUUGGGUUUCUUCUCCUGAGCAGCAACUUGUUCGCUGUUCUUCUUGAAGUUCCCUUUCUUCUUCCCUUUACCCUUUUUCUUGAAACUGGUGGUCUUAUUGACCAUCAACACUUGAUGCUCCUUUUUGAUUUCUACCUCCGCAGCCUUUAGCAUUGUGAAGAGCUCGGGAAUUGUCUUACUCAUCCCUUGCAUAUUAUAGUUCAUCACGAAGCUCUUGUAGCUUGGUGGCAGUGAUUGAAGAAUUCUGUCAAUAAUGCUAUCAUCCGGAAGAUUAACUCCCAGUUGAAUCAAGUGAUUGUUAUACCCAGACAUUUUGAGUAUAUGCUCAUUGACAGAACUAUUCUCUUCCAUCUUGCAGCUGAAGAACUUAUUGGAGACUUCAUAUCUCUCAAUUCGGGCAUUUGCUUGAAAUAUUAACUUCAACUCCUGGAACAUCUCAUAUGCUCCAUGACGUUCAAAACGUCGUUGAAGACCCGGUUCUAAGCCGUAAAGCAUGGCACACUGAACUAUCGAGUAGUCAUCAACACGUGACUGCCAGGCAUUCACAAUGUCUGCAGUUGCUGGUGCAGGUGGUACACCUAGCGGUGCUUCCAGGACGUAAUUUUUCUGUGCAGCAAUGAGGAUAAUCCUCAAGUUACGGACCCAGUCCGUGUAAUUGCUACCAUCAUCUUUCAACUUUGCUUUCUCAAGGAACGCAUUAAAAUUCAACGGAACAACAGCACGGGCCAUCUAUCUACAAUUAACAUAGACAAGCAAGAUACUCUCAGGUACUAAGUUCAUGAUAAAUUCAAGUUCAAUUAAUCAUAUUACUUAAGAACUCCCACUUAGAUAGACAUCCCUCUAAUCCUCUAAGUGAUCACGUGAUCCAUAUCAACUAAACCAUGUCCGAUCAUCACGUGAGAUGGAGUAGUUUCAACGGUGAACAUCACUAUGUUGAUCAUAUCUACUAUAUGAUUCACGCUCGACCUUUCGGUCUCCGUGUUCCGAGGCCAUAUCUGUUAUAUGCUAGGCUCGUCAAGUUUAACCUGAGUAUUCCGCGUGCGCAACUGUUUUGCACCCGUUGUAUUUGAACGUAGAGCCUAUCACACCCGAUCAUCACGUGGUGUCUCAGCACGAAGAACUUUCGCAACGGUGCAUACCCAGGGAGAACACUUAUACUUUGAUAAUUUAGUGAAGGAUCAUCUUAUAAUGCUACCGUCAAACAAAGCAAGAUAAGAUGCAUAAAGGAUUAACAUCACAUGCAAUCAAUAUAAGUGAUAUGAUAUGGCCAUCAUCAUCUUGUGCUUGUGAUCUCCAUCUCCGAAGCACCGUGCUUGUGAUCUCCAUCUCCGAAGCACCGUCAUGAUCACCAUCGUCACCGGCGCGACACCUUGAUCUCCAUCGUAGCAUCGUUGUCGUCUUGCCAACUUAUUGCUUUUACGACUAUCACUACCGCUUAGUGAUAAAGUAAAACUAUUACAUGGCGAUUGCAUCUCAUACAAUAAAGCGACAACCAUAUGGCUCCUGCCAGUUGCCGAUAACUCAGUUACAAAACAUGAUCAUCUCAUACAACACAUUAUAUCACAUCAUGUCUUGACCAUAUCACAUCACAACAUGCCCUGCAAAAACAAGUUAGACGUCCUCUACUUUGUUGUUGCAUGUUUUACGUGGCUGCUACGGGCUUAGCAAGAACCGUUCUUACCUACGCAUCAAAACCACAACGAUAGUUUGUCAAGUUGGUGCUGUUUUAACCUUCGCAAGGACCGGGCGUAGCCACACUCGGUUCAACUAAAGUGAGAGAGACAGACACCCGCCGGUCACCUUUAAGCAACGAGUGCUCGCAACGGUGAAACCAGUCUCGCGUAAGCGUACGCGUAAUGGCGGUCCGGGCCGCUUCAUCUCACAAUACCGCUGAACCAAAGUAUGACAUGCUGGUAAGCAGUAUGACUUAUAUCGCCCACAACUCACUUGUGUUCUACUCGUGCAUAGCAUCAACGCAUAAAACCUGGCUCGGAUGCCACUGUUGAAAACGUAGUAAUUUCAAAAAAAUUCCUACGCACACGCAAGAUCAUGGUGAUGCAUAGAAACGAGAGGGGAGAGUGUUGUCCACGUACCCUCGUAGACCGACAGCGGAAGCGUUAUCAUAACGCGGUUGAUGUAGUCGUACGUCUUCACGAUCCGACCGAUCAAGUACCGAACGUACGGCACCUCCGAGUUCUACACACGUUCAGCUCGAUGACGUCCCUCGAACUCCGAUCCAGCCGAGCGUUGAGGGAGAGUUUCGUCAGCACGACGGCGUGGUGACGAUGAUGAUGUUCCACCGACGCAGGGCUUCGCCUAAACUCCGCAACGGUAUUAUCGAGGUGUAAUAUGGUGGAGGGGGGCACCGCACACGGCUAAUAGAUCUCAAGGAUCAAUUGUUGUGUCUCUGGGGUGCCCCCCUGCCCCCGUAUAUAAAGGAGCAAGGGGGAGGCAGCCGGCCAAGGGGAGAGGCGCGCCAUAGGGGGGAGUCCUACUCCCACCGGGAGUAGGACUCCUCCUUUCCUUGUGGGAGUAGGAGAAGGGAAGAGGGAAGGAGAAAGAAGGAAGGGUGCGCCCCCCUUCCCUAGUCCAAUUCGGACCAGAACAUGGGGAGGGGUGCGGCCACCUUUUGAGGCCUUUCUCUCCUUUCCCGUAUGGCCCAUUAAGGCCCAAUACGAAUUCCCGUAACUCUCCGGUACUCCGAAAAAUACCCGAAUCACUCGGAACCUUUCCAAAGUUCGAAUAUAGUCGUCCAAUAUAUCGAUCUUUACGUCUCGACCAUUUCGAGACUCCUCGUCAUAUCCCCGAUCUCAUCCGGGACUCCGAACUCCUUCGGUACAUCAAAACUCAAUAAAAUUGUCAUCGUAACGUUAAGCGUGCGGACCCUACGGGUUCGAGAACUAUGUAGACAUGACCGAGACACGACUCCGGUCAAUAACCAAUAGCGGGACCUGGAUGCCCAUAUUGGCUCCCACAUAUUCUACGAAGAUCUUUAUCGGUCAGACCGCAUAACAACAUACGUUGUUCCCUUUGUCACCGGUAUGUUACUUGCCCGAGAUUUGAUCGUCGGUAUCUCGAUACCUAGUUCAAUCUCGUUACCGGCAAGUCUCUUUACUCGUUCCGUAACACAUCAUCCCGCAACUAACUCAUUAGUCACAAUGCUUGCAAGGCUUAUAGUGAUGUGCACUACCGAGUGGGCCCAGAGAUACCUCUCCGACAAUUGGAGUGACAAAUCCUAAUCUCGAAAUACGCCAACCCAACAAGUACCUUUGGAGACACCUGUAGAGCACCUUUAUAAUCACCCAUUUACGUUGUGACGUUUGGUAGCACACAAAGUGUUCCUCCGGUAAACGGGAGUUGCAUAAUCUCAUAGUCAUAGGAACAUGUAUAAGUCAUGAAGAAAGCAAUAGCAACAUACUAAACGAUCGAGUGCUAAGCUAACGGAAUGGGUCAAGUCAAUCACGUCAUUCUCCUAAUGAGGUGAUCUCGUUAAUCAAAUGACAACUUAUGUCUAUGGUUAGGAAACAUAACCAUCUUUGAUUAACGAGCUAGUCAAGUAGAGGCAUACUAGUGACACUCUGUUUGUCUAUAUAUUCACACAUGUAUUAUGUUUCCGGUUAAUACAAUUCUAGCAUGAAUAAUAAACAUUUAUCAUGAUACAAGGAAAUAAAUAAUACUUUAUUAUUGCCUCUAGGGCAUAUUUCCUUCAACAUUCACGGGCAUUUACGGUCGUUUUACCGGGCUGGCGGGGGCACCUACCAAUUAAAAUCAGGGGGGCGCGGUUUUUUUUAGGGAAAUGCCAUCAUGGCGGUUUAUAUUUCAUGUGAGAAUAAAGAUACAUCGUUUGUUAAAACAUCCACUAAGAAACCCGGGGGCUCCGAUUUCCAAACAAUUGUUCGAGACACCUCCGAGUUCUUAGCUAGCAGAUCCGCCGCCAUAUUGGCUUCCCGAGGGCAAUGGCUAAAAACUAUAAAGAUAAAAUUGCUAGAUAAGAAAGUGCAUUCUUCAUAUAUUGCCGCUGCUGGUCCUAAUGAAUUCCUGCCACUCAGCAUGAUCUCGAUUACCUCCAGACAGUCCGCUUCGAUAUAGAUUUUGUUGCAACCAACUUCAUUCGCUAGUAGGAGGCCAUCUCGUAGUCCUCUAGCCUCUGCCGUCACUGCGUCUUCCACAAAGGGUAUAUCACUGCAGGAAGCAGUGACAAAGAAACCGGCCUCAUCACGCAGCACUGCUCCCGUACCCCCUGUACCAGUGUCCCGGUCAAAAGCUGCAUCGACAUUAAGUUUGAUGAUGCCCUCAGGUGGCUUGGACCAGCCAUGUCUUUUAAUUUUAGUUUGCUUCAACCUUGCUCGUGAAAAGUUCUGCACUAAAGUUGAUAUAGCUUGGGCCGACCUUGCUGACUCAUAGAUGUUCUCACCGUGUGUGUAUUUGCGUCGUUCCCACCAUACAUACCAGAUUGUUGUGGCCACUAGAUCAUUGCGCUGGACAUUGGCCACUAGUGGACAUCUGGUACUUUUGGAUAAUAGGAGAUCGGCCAGCGCCGAACCUCCAUCUCUCUCUAUUGUGCAGAUUUCAUUCACUAGCUCCUGUAGUCCAAGAAUAUGCCAAAUUUCCUGCACCCUCGGGCACAGAAACAUAGCAUGCCUAAUGCUUUCACAGUCCGAACUACAAAGGGGAGACUGGGAACUUGUAGUCAUAUGUCUGUUCGCUAAAACACCACGGCAAGGAAUAGCUCCAAGCAAAGUCCUCCAAACAUGGAUUUUGAUUUUUGAUGGCACACGCAAUUUCCAAAUGGUACGCUAGACUGGACUAGUACUUGAGGCUUGUAAUGAGUUUGUCGUCCUCAACUUCCGUCCAUGCUGGUGCUCCCACUCUUCAUGGUAAGCCGAUCUUACUGAGAAAAUUCCACUUCUAUUGAAGUGCCAUGAUACAAAAUCUUCCAUCAUUCCCAAAGCUAGAGGAAUAUUCAUAAUACGUUGCACAUCAAUUGGCCAAAAAUGAUCGUUUAGCAAUUGUUCAUCCCACACUCUGUUUUCCGAAUCAAUGAGUUCAGAAACUCUUGUGAUCACUAUAUUUCCCCUUGGUAUAAAAACUUUGCGGGUCGGGCUGCUGGGAAUCCAAGGGUCCUCCCAGAUAUUAAUAUGUGAUCCAUCUCCUACUCUCCAAAUGUGUCCUCUCUUAAAGGACUAAAUUCCACUCCAGAGACUCUGCCAGGUAUAUGAACUACCCUUCUUCAACGUACAGUUCAGAAGGUCACCAUUGGGGAAAUACUUUGCUUUCGAUACUCUGGCACAUAAUGAUUCCGGUUCACACAAAAGCCUCCAACACUGUUUUGCCAAAAGAGCCAAAUUAAAGCAAUGCAAGUCCCGGAAGCCCAUACCACCCUUCUCCUUCGGGACGCACAUCUUCCACCAGGCAAACCAAUGCAUAUGUUUUUUCAAAUCCUCAUAUCCCCACCAAUAUUUCGACAUGGCGGUGGUUAUACUGUUGCACACUUGUUUUGGAAGUUUGAAAACUGACAUUGCGUAUGAGGGAAUAGCUUGUACUACAGCCUUUAGUAAGACCUCUCUCCCACCAACAGAUAGUAGUUUCUCCUUCCAUCCUCUAAUUCUGCUUAAAACUCUAUCUAUGAGAUGUUGAAAGCAAUCUGAUCUGUCCACUCCCACAAUUGGGGGCAACCCCAAAUAUUUAUCCGUGAGCGCUUCUGCCAUUAUAUUAAGUGAGGUGCACACUUCCACUCUUGUAUCAACAGGAGUGCAUGGACUGAAAAAAAUACUGGAUUUGACCUCACGCACCAUAUGGCCAGAAGUAGCGCAGUAAUCGUCAAGCGCCCUUCGGAGGCUGGUUGCAUUGGUGGCAUCGGCUCGCAUGAGGAUUAGCGAGUCAUCCACAAAAAGAAGGUGAGAGACCGAGGGGGCAUCACGACACACUUUGACUCCCAAUAAAUUUCCAACCUCCUCCUCGUGCAUAAUUAGACUUGAUAAACCCUCAGCACAUAGCAAGAAUAAGUACAGUGAAAGAGGAUCGCCCUGCCUUAGGCCCCUGGAAGGAACAAAAAAGCCAGUUAACUCGUUAUUCACCCGUACCCGGUAUUUUACCGAUUUAACACACUCCAUGAUGAGGGCCACCCAAUGUUCCAUAAAUCCCAAUUGUAAUAGAAUCGCUGAAGGAAAUAUGCCCUAGAGGCAAUAAUAAAGUAUUAUUUAUUUCCUUGUAUCAUGAUAAAUGUUUAUUAUUCAUGCUAGAAUUGUAUUAACCGGAAACAUAAUACAUGUGUGAAUAUAUAGACAAACAGAGUGUCACUAGUAUGCCUCUACUUGACUAGCUCGUUAAUCAAAGAUGGUUAUGUUUCCUAACCAUAGACAUAAGUUGUUAUUUGAUUAACGAGAUCACCUCAUUAGGAGAAUGACGUGAUUGACUUGACCCAUUCCGUUAGCUUAGCACUCGAUCGUUUAGUAUGUUGCUAUUGCUUUCUUCAUGACUUAUACAUGUUCCUAUGACUAUGAGAUUAUGCAACUCCCGUUUACCGGAGGAACACUUUGUGUGCUACCAAACGUCACAACGUAAAUGGGUGAUUAUAAAGGUGCUCUACAGGUGUCUCCAAAGGUACUUGUUGGGUUGGCGUAUUUCGAGAUUAGGAUUUGUCACUCCAAUUGUCGGAGAGGUAUCUCUGGGCCCACUCGGUAAUGCACAUCACUAUAAGCCUUGCAAGCAUGUGACUAAUGAGUUAGUUGCGGGAUGAUGUGUUACGGAACGAGUAAAGAGACUUGCCGGUAACGAGAUUGAACUAGGUAUCGAGAUACCGACGAUCAAAUCUCGGGCAAGUAACAUACCGGUGACAAAGGGAACAACGUACGUUGUUAUGCGGUCUGACCGAUAAAGAUCUUCGUAGAAUAUGUGGGAGCCAAUAUGGGCAUCCAGGUCCCGCUAUUGGUUAUUGACCGGAGUCGUGUCUCGGUCAUGUCUACAUAGUUCUCGAACCCGUAGGGUCCGCACGCUUAACGUUACGAUGACAGAUUUAUUGAGUUUUGAUGUACCGAAGGAGUUCGGGGUCCCGGAUGAGGUCGGGGACAUGACUAGGAGUCUCGAAAUGGUCGAGACGUAAAGAUCGAUAUAUUGGACGACUAUAUUCGGACUUCGGAAAGGUUCCGAGUGAUUCGGGUAUUUUUCGGAGUACCGGAGAGUUACGGGAAUACGUAUUGGGCCUUAUUGGGCCAUACGGGAAAGAAGGAAAAGGGCCUCAAGGGUGGCCGCACCCCUCCCCUUGGUCUGGUCCGAAUUGGACUAGGGAAGGGGGGUGCUCCCUUCCUUACUUCUCUUUUUCCCUUCCUCUUUUCCUAUUCCAUAUGGGAGGUGGAAUCCUACUAAGACUAGGGAGUCCUAGUAGGACUCCACACUUGGUGCGCCCCCUCCUAGGGCCGGCCUCCUCCUCCCUUACUCCUUUAUAUACGGGGGCAGGGGCACCCCAGAGACACAACAAUUGAUCCUUGAGAUCUCUUAGCCGUGUGCGGUGCCCCCCUCCACCAUAUUACACCUCGAUAAUACCGUUGCGGAGCUUAGGCGAAGCCCUGCGUCGGUGGAACAUCACCAUCGUUACCACGCCGUUGUGCUGACGAAACUCUCCCUCAACACUCGACUGGAUCGGAGUUCGAGGGACAUCAUCAAGCUGAACGUGUGUAGAACUCGGAGGUGUCGUACGUUCGGUACUUGAUCGGUCGGAUCGUGAAGACGUACGACUACAUCAACCGCGUUAUGAUAACGCUUCCGCUGUCGGUCUACGAGGGUACGUGGACAACACUCUCCCCUCUCGUUGCUAUGCAUCACCAUGAUCUGGCGUGUGCGUAGGAAUUUUUUUGAAAUUACUACGUUCCCCAACAGUGGCAUCCGAGCCUGGUUUUAUGCGUUGAUGCUAUGCACGAGUAGAACACAAGUGAGUUGUGGGCGAUAUAAGUCAUACUGCUUACCAGCGUGUCAUACUUUGGUUCAGCGGUAUUGUGAGAUGAAGCGGCCCGGACCGACAUUACGCGUACGCUUAUGCGAGACUGGUUUCACCGUUCGGAGCACUCGUUGCUUAAAGGUGACUGGCGGGUGUCUGUCUCUCUCACUUUAGUUGAACCGAGUGUGGCUACGCCCGGUCCUUGCGAAGGUUAAAACAACACCAACUUGACAAACUAUCGUUGUGGUUUUGAUGCGUAGGUAAGAACGGUUCUUGCUAAGCCCGUAGCAGCCACGUAAAACAUGCAACAACAAAGUAGAGGACUUCUAACUUGUUUUUGCAGGGCACGUUGUGAUGUGAUAUGGUCAAGACAUGAUGUGAUAUAAUGUGUUGUAUGAGAUGAUCAUGUUUUGUAACCGAUUUAUCGGCAACUGGCAGGAGCCAUAUGGUUGUCGCUUUAUUGUAUGAGAUGCAAUCACCAUGUAAUAGUUUUACUUUAUCACUAAGCGGUAGCGAUAGUCGUAAAAGCAAUAAGUUGGCGAGACGACAACGAUACUACGAUGGAGAUCAAGGUGUCGAGCCGGUGACGAUGGUGAUCAUGACGGUGCUUCGGAGAUGGAGAUCACGAGCACGGUGCUUCGGAGAUGGAGAUCACAAGCACAAGAUGAUGAUGGCCAUAUCAUAUCACUUAUAUUGAUUGCAUGUGAUGUUAAUCCUUUAUGCAUCUUAUCUUGCUUUGAUUGACGGUAGCAUUAUAAGAUGAUCUCUCACUAAAAUUUCAAGAUAAAAGUGUUCUCCCUGAGUAUGCACUGUUGCAAAAGUUCUUCGUGCUGAGACACCACGUGUUAAUCGGGUGUGAUAGGCUCUACGUUCAAAUACAACGGGUGCAAAACAGUUGCACACGCGGAAUACUCAGGUUAAACUUGACGAGCCUAGCAUAUACAGAUAUGGCCUCGGAACACAGAGACCGAAAGGUCGAGCGUGAAUCAUAUAGUAGAUAUGAUCAACAUAGUGAUGUUCACCAUUGAAACUACUCCAUCUCACGUGUUAAUCGUACAUGGUUUAGUUGCUUUGGAUCACGUAAUCACUUAGAUGAUUAGAGGGAUGUCUAUCUAAGUGGGAGUUCUUAAGUAAUAUGAUUAAUUGAACUUAAAUUUAUCAUGAACUUAGUCCUGAUAGUAUUUUGCAAAUUAUGUUGUAGAUCAAUAGCUCGCGUUGUUGCUUCCCUGUGUUUAUUUUUGAUAUGUUCCUAGAGAAAAAUUAUGUUGAAAGAUGUUAGUAGCAAAGAUGCGGAUUGGAUCCGUGAUCUGAGGAUUAUACUCAUUGCUGCACAGAAAAAAUUAUGUCCUUGAUGCACCGCUAGGUGACAGACCUAUUGCAGGAGCAGAUGCAGACGUUAUGAAUGUUUGGCUAGCACAAUAUGAUGACUACUUGAUAGUUUAGUGCACCAUUCUUAACGGCUUAGAAUCGGGACUUGAAAGACGUUUUGAACGUCAUGGACCAUAUAAGAUGUUCCAGGAGUUGAAGUUAAUAUUUCAAGCAAAUACCCGAGUUGAGAGAUAUGAAGUCUCCAACAAGUUCUAUAGCUAAAAGAUGGAGGAGAAUUGCUCAACUAGUGAGCAUGUGCUCAGAUUGUCUGGGUACUACAAUCGCUUGAAUCAAGUGGGAGUUAAUCUUCCAGAUAAAAUAGUGAUUGACAGAAUUCUCUAGUCACCAUCACCAAGUUAGUAGAACUUCGUGAUGAACUAUAGUAUGCAAGGGAUGACGAAAGUAAUUCCCGAGCUCUUCGUGAUGCUGAAAUCGACGAAGGUAGAAAUCAAGAAAAACAUCAAGUGUUGAUGGUUGACGAGACCACUUCAAGUGUUGAUGGUUGACAAGACCACUAGUUUCAAGAAAAGGGCAAAGGGAAGAAGGGGAACUUCAAAAGAACGGCAAGCAAGUUGCUACUCAAGUGAAGAAGCCCAAGUCUGUACCUAAGCCUGAGACUAAGUGCUUCUACUGCAAAGGGACUGGUCACUGGAAGCGGAACUACCCCAAGUAUUUGGUGGAUAAGAAAGAUGGCAAAGUGAACAAAGGUAUAUUGGAUAUACAUGUUAUUGAUGUGUACUUACUAGUGUUUAUAGCAACCCCUCAGUAUUUGAUACUGGUUCAGUUGCUAAAGAGUAGUAACUCGAAAACGGGAGUAGCAGAAUAAACAGAGACUAGUAAAAGAUGAGGUGACGAUGUGUGUUGGAAGUAGUUCCAAGAUUGAUAUGAUCAUCAUCGCACACUCCCUAUACUUUCGGGAUUAGUGUUGAAACUAAAUAAGUGUUAUUUGGUGUUUGCGUUGAGAAUGAAUAUGAUUUGAUCAUGUUUAUUGCAAUACGGUUAUUCAUUUAAGUUAGAGAACAAUUGUUGUUCUGUUUACAUGAAUAAAAAACCUUCUAUGGUCAUACACACCAACGAAAAUGGUUUGUUGGAUCUCGAUCGUAGUGAUACACAUAAUCAUAAUAUUGAAGCCAAAAGAUGCAAAGUUAAUAAUGAUAGUGCAACUUAUUUGUGGCACUAUCGUUUAGGUCAUAUUGGUGUAAAGCGCAUGAAGAAACUACAUACUGAUGGGAUUUUGGAAUCACUUGAUUAUGAAUCACUUGAUGCUUGCGAACUGUGCCUCAUGGGCAAGAUGACUAAAACGCUGUUCUCCGGAACUAUGGAGAGAGCAACAGAUUUGUUGGAAAUCACACGUACAGAUGUAUGUGGUCCGAUGAAUAUUGAGGCUCGUAGCAGGUAUCAUUAUUUUCUGACCUUCACAGAUGAUUUGAGCAGAUAUGGGUAUAUCUACUUAAUGAAACAUAAGUCUGAAACAUUUGAAAAGUUCAAAGAAUUUCAGAGUGAAGUUGAAAAUCAUCGUAACAAGAAAAUAAAAUUCCUACGAUCUGAUCGUGGAGGAGAAUAUUUGAGUUACGAGUUUGGACUACAUUUGAAACAAUGCGGAAUAGUUUCGCAACUCACGCCACCCGGAACACCACAGCAUAAUGGUGUGUCCGAACGUCAUAACCGUACUAUAUUGGAUAUAGUGCAAUCUAUGAUGUCUCUUACCAAUUUACCACUAUCGUUUUGGGGUUAUGCAUUAGAGACAGCUGCAUUCACGUUAAAUAGGGCACCAUCAAAAUCCGUUGAGACGACGCCUUAUGAACUGAGGUUUAGCAAGAAACCAAAGUUGUCGUUUCUUAAAAUUUUGAGGUUGCGAUGCUUAUGUGAAAAAGUUUCAUCCUGAUAAGCUCAAGCCCAAAUCGGAGAAAUGUGUCUUCAUAGGAUACCCAAAGGAGACAGUUGGGUACACCUUCUAUCACAGAUCCGAAUGCAAGACAUUCGUUGCUAAAAAUGGAUCCUUUCUAGAGAAGGAGUUUCUCUCGAAAGAAGUGAGUGGGAGGAAAGUAGAACUUGAUGAGGUAACUGUACCUGCUCCCUUAUUGGAAAGUAGUUCAUCACAGAAAUCUGUUCCUGUGACUCCUACACCAAUUAGUGAGGAAGUUAAUGAUGAUGAUCAUGUAACUUCAGAUCAAGUUACUACCAAACCUCGUAGGUAAACCAGAGUGAGAUCCACACCAGAGUGGUACGGUAAUCCUGUUCUGGAGGUCAUGUUAUUUGACCAUGACGAACCUACGAACUAUGAGGAAGCGAUGAUGAGCCCAGAUUCCGAGAAAUGGCUUGAGGCCAUGAAAUCUGAGAUGAGAUCCAUGAAUGAAGAACAAAGUAUGGACUUUGGUUGACUUGCCCAAUGAUCGGCGAGCCAUUGAGAUUAAAUGGAUCUUCAAGAGGAAGACAGACAGUGAUAGUAGUGUUACUGUCUACAAAGCUAGAAUUGUCGCAAAAAGGUUUUCGACAAGUUCAAGGUGUUGACUAUGAUGAGAGUUUCUCACUCGUAUCUAUGCUUAAAGUCUGUCCGAAUCAUGUUAGCAAUUGCCGCAUUUUAUGAAAUCUGGCAAAUGGAUAAACAAAACUGCAUUCCUUAAUGGAUUUAUUAUAGAAGAGUUGUAUAUGAUGCAACCAGAAGGUUUUGUCAAUCCUAAAGGUGCUCACAAAAUAUGCAAGCUCCAGCGAUCCAUCUAUGGACUGGUGCAAGCAUCUCGGAGUUGGAAUAUACACUUUGAUAAGUUGAUCAAAGGAUAUAGUUUUAUACAGACUUGCGGUGAAGCCUGUAUUUACAAGAAAGUGAGUGGGAGCACUACAGCAUUUCUGAUAAUUAUAUGUGAAUGACAUAUUGUUGAUCGAAAAUAAUGUAGAAUUAUUCUGCAAAGCAUAAAGGAGUGUUUGAAAGGAGUUUUUUAAAGAAAGACCUCGGUGAAGCUGCUUACAUAUUGAGCAUCAAGAUCUAUAGAGAUAGAUCAAGUCGCUUGAUAAGUUUUUUCAAUGAGUACAUACCUUAACAAGAUUUUGAAGUAGUUCAAAAUACAACAGUCAAAGAAAGAGUUCUUGCCUGUGUUACAAGGUAUGAAAUUGAGUAAGACUCAAAGCCCGACCACGGCAGAAGAUAGAACGAGAAUGAAAGUCAUUCCCUAUGCCUUGGCCAUAGGUUCUAUAAAGUAUGCCAUGCUGUGUACCAAAUCUAUUGUAUACCCUACACUGAUUUUGGCAAGGGAGUACAAUAGUGAUCUAGGAGUAGAUCACUGGACAGCGGUCAAAAUUAUCCUUAGUGGAAUAAGGAAAUGUUUCUCGAUUAUGGAAGUGACAAAACGUUCGUCGUAAAGGGUUACGUCGAUGCAAGUUUUGACACUAAUCUAGAUGACUCUAAAGUCUCGGUCUAGAUACAUAUUGAAAGUGGGAGCAAUUAGCUAGAGUAGCUCCGUGCAGAGCAUUGUAGACAUAGAGAUUUGCAAAAUACUUACGGAUCUGAAUGUGACAGACCCGUUGACUAAAAUUAUCUCACAAUCAAAACAUGAUCACACCUUAGUACUCUUUGGGUGUUAAUCACAUAGCGAUGUGAACUAGAUUAUUGACUCUAGUAAACCCUUUGAGUGUUAGUCACAUGGAGAUGUGAACUAUGGGUGUUAAUCACAUGGUGAUGUGAAUUAUUGAUGUUAAAUCACAUGGCGAUGUGAAUUAGAUUAUUGACUCUAGUGCAAGUGGGAGACUGAAGGAAAUAUGCCCUAGAGGCAAUAAUAAAGUAUUAUUUAUUUCCUUGUAUCAUGAUAAAUGUUUAUUAUUCAUGCUAGAAUUGUAUUAACCGGAAACAUAAUACAUGUGUGAAUAUAUAGACAAACAGAGUGUCACUAGUAUGCCUCUACUUGACUAGCUCGUUAAUCAAAGAUGGUUAUGUUUCCUAACCAUAGACAUAAGUUGUUAUUUGAUUAACGAGAUCACCUCAUUAGGAGAAUGACGUGAUUGACUUGACCCAUUCCGUUAGCUUAGCACUCGAUCGUUUAGUAUGUUGCUAUUGCUUUCUUCAUGACUUAUACAUGUUCCUAUGACUAUGAGAUUAUGCAACUCCCGUUUACCGGAGGAACACUUUGUGUGCUACCAAACGUCACAACGUAAAUGGGUGAUUAUAAAGGUGCUCUACAGGUGUCUCCAAAGGUACUUGUUGGGUUGGCGUAUUUCGAGAUUAGGAUUUGUCACUCCAAUUGUCGGAGAGGUAUCUCUGGGCCCACUCGGUAGUGCACAUCACUAUAAGCCUUGCAAGCAUUGUGACUAAUGAGUUAGUUGCGGGAUGAUGUGUUACGGAACGAGUAAAGAGACUUGCCGGUAACGAGAUUGAACUAGGUAUCGAGAUACCGACGAUCAAAUCUCGGGCAAGUAACAUACCGGUGACAAAGGGAACAACGUAUGUUGUUAUGCGGUCUGACCGAUAAAGAUCUUCGUAGAAUAUGUGGGAGCCAAUAUGGGCAUCCAGGUCCCGCUAUUGGUUAUUGACCGGAGUCGUGUCUCGGUCAUGUCUACAUAGUUCUCGAACCCGUAGGGUCCGCACGCUUAACGUUACGAUGACAGUUUUAUUGAGUUUUGAUGUACCGAAGGAGUUCGGAGUCCCGGAUGAGAUCGGGGACAUGACUAGGAGUCUCGAAAUGUCGAGACGUAAAGAUCGAUAUAUUGGACGACUAUAUUCGGACUUCGGAAAGGUUCCGAGUGAUUCGGGUAUUUUUCGGAGUACCGGAGAGUUACGGGAAUACGUAUUGGGCCUUAUUGAGCCAUACGGGAAAGAAGGAAAAGGGCCUCAAGGGUGGCCGCACCCCUCCCCUUGGUCUGGUCCGAAUUGGACUAGGGAAGGGGGGCGCUCCCUUCCUUACUUCUCUUUUUCCCUUCCUCUUUUCCUAUUCCAUAUGGGAGGUGGAAUCCUACUAGGACUAGGGAGUCCUAGUAGGACUCCACACUUGGUGCGCCCCCUCCUAGGGCCGGCCUCCUCCUCCCUUACUCCUUUAUAUACGGGGGCAGGGGGCACCCCAGAGACACAACAAUUGAUCCUUGAGAUCUCUUAGCCGUGUGCGGUGCCCCCCUCCACCAUAUUACACCUCGAUAAUACCGUUGCGGAGCUUAGGCGAAGCCCUGCGUCGGUGGAACAUCACCAUCGUCACCACGCCGUCGUGCUGACAAAACUCUCCCUCAACACUCGGCUGGAUCGGAGUUCGAGGGACGUCAUCGAGCUGAACGUGUGUAGAACUCGGAGGUGUCGUACAUUCGGUACUUGAUCGGUCGGAUCGUGAAGACGUACGACUACAUCAACCGCGUUAUGAUAACGCUUCCGCUGUCGGUCUACGAGGGUACGUGGACAACACUCUCCCCUCUCGUUGCUAUGCAUCACCAUGAUCUUGCGUGUGCGUAGGAAUUUUUUUGAAAUUACUACGUUCCCCAACAAUCGCCUCCAAGAAAGUCCACUCCACCCGGUCAUAUGCCUUGUGCAUAUCGAGUUUCACCGCACAAGUGCCAUAUUUACCGUUUGUUUUCCUCUUGAUCGCAUGAUAUGACUCAAAAGCUACCAGAAAGUUAUCAGUGAUAAGCCGUGCAGGGACGAAGGCACUUUGAUUGGGGGAGAUGAUCUCAGAAACAAAAACUUUAAGUCGGUUUGCAAGGAGUUUUGAAAUCACUUUAUAGACCACAUUACAUAGGCUAAUCGGACGGAAUUGGGUUAUAACUUCUGGGUUGUCUAUCUUCGGGAUGAGCACAAUAGUUGUGUUGUUCCACCCAUCAGGAAUCUUACGAGAAUUGACAGCAAGUAACACUUCAUCAAUCAAGUCCUCUUCAAUUAUGUGCCAAAACCUCUUGUAAAACACAGCAUGAAGGCCGUCAGGGCCAGGGGCCUUGAGGUCGCCGAUGUUGAACAUAGCAUUCUUAACUUCCUCUCGUGUGUAUGGUUUAUUCAGCUCCUGGUUCAUUGCAUCAGACACACGCUGCUGCAUGGGACCUUAUCUCCCCCCGGUCUUCAAUCCAUGUGCCAUUCUCUCUUUGUAAACGCUUGAUAAAGUUUCUCUUACGCCGACCAUUUGCUGCCCUAUGAAAGAAAUCAGAGUUUUUGUCACCACGGGUAAGCCAAUCAGCUCGUCCUCGCUGCAUCCAGUAGAGCUCCUCCUGCUCUAGUAGUUUCUCAAUUUGCAUGUGUAGUUCAUGUUGCCUUAUAACCGCGUCAUCAGUUAAAGGCCCAGAUAGCACUUCAUUCAGUUUCUUUUGGAGCUCCCGAAGCUUUGUACGAGGUCCUUUGAGUACCUUCUUGUCCCAACUAUGCAGCGCUUGAUGUACAUCAGCUGUGAGUUCAGCAAAGGGUGCUACCCCCAGAGCUUUGCGCGCCUCCCAGGAUGUCUGGACGAUAGUCUCGACGUCCUCCUCUGCUAACCAACGUGCCUCAAACCUGCACGGUCCAGGUGCACCUUGCGGCAGCAUGCCGAUCUGAAAAUUGGUAUUGAUCAGGACCGGCCUAUGGUCUGAUGUGUUAAACUCUUCAUUGGAUACUUCAAAACUAGGGAACAAAUCAGCCCACUGCAUGUUCUGAUUUGUUCCCUAGUUCUGGCGCGGUUAAUGAGUAGGAGUUAGUUUUUUAGGCCAAUGAAAACUGAACAAGUCAGCUGGCCCUGAAGUCCGUAUCAGGCAGCCCGUGAAUCUAGCAUUAUUGGUGGACAUGCACAUGCGACCCAUCCAUGCUAAUCAACUGCAUGCACCUGAUGCAAAAUUAAUAAGAGAAGCCAUCGGCAUGCAUGCAUGUAUCAGACCAUGCAACAUGUUCACGCGGACGAGACGUAGCCGGUUGAUGAGCAUGCAUGCGUGUAUCAGGCCAUGCAACGAGACGUAGAGGAGGCGAUACUAUUAAAAAAAAGUGACUGACCCCAAAUUAGAAGUCAGUCACCUGAUCAGUAGCCGGUCCCAAGAAAAUAUAAUCUACAUGUAACCAAGUCUUAGUCAAGUCACAAAACAUAUUUUUUUAAUUACACUGAUCUUCACUUAAGAAUCUCAUGAAUAAAGCGUCGACACGUCUCAAUGGACUGAGAAGUCGAAAUUUAGCAGUCUCGUUAUAUACAUAACCAAAAUUUGACUAAAAUAUGAGAGGAGACCGAAUAUAAAUUUAUAAUCGAACACCCAACCUAGAGCGAGCAAGCAUGUCUCUACAGCUCAACAGGUGUAAACGUGAAUACAUGACUCCCGUUUGAUCUGAGAAGCUGAACAAAAAUGACCACGACGGAACAAGUUUUUCUACUAUAAGCUGUAGAACGCGAACUGGUCAGCGCCGCGGUCGAUAUGCUUGGCGACGGCGUGGUAGCCCUCCUCCAAGUCCUCGCGCGUCACCACGCACCGGCGGUCGCGCACGGCCCGCAUGCCAGCCUCGCGGCACACGGCGUCGAUGUCCGCAGCGCUCAUCUCCUCGUGCCGGGCCACCAGGUCCUCCAGGUCGACGCCGCCGUCAAGGGGCAUCCCCGCCGUGCACGCCUGGAACAGCCGACGUUUCUGCGCCCUCCCCGGCAGCGGGAACUCCACCCUGCGGUCCAGGCGCCCCGGCCGCAGCAGCGCCGGGUCCAGCGCGUCGGCACGGUUUGUCGCCAUGAUCACCCGCACGUCGGGGCACUGGUCGAAGCCGUCCAUCUGCGCGAGCAGCUCCAGCAGCACCCUGUACACCUCGCGGUCGGCGGCUGAGGCGUCGUCGGAGUCGGUCCGGGCAGACGCGAUGGCGUCCACCUCGUCGAAGAAGAUGAUGGCCGGCGCGUUGUCGCGGGCGGCCUGGAACACCUCGCGCACCAUCCUGGGCCCCUCGCCCGGGUGCCUGUUCACGAACUCCGAGCCGCUCACGCGGAUGAAGGCCGCCGACGUGUGAUGCGCGACGGCUUUGGCCAGCAUGGUCUUGCCGGUGCCCGGCGGGCCGUGCAGGAGCACGCCCCGCGGCGCCUCCACGCCGGCGCGGGCGAACAGCUCCGGGUGCGUCAGCGGCAGCUCCACGGCCUCGAGGACCUCCCGCUUCUGCUCGUCGCACCCGACCACGUCCGCGUAGGUGACGCUCGGCCUCUCGGUGGCCUUGACGAGGGGCACGGUCCAGCCGGAGUCCGGCGGCAGGACUUGGACGACCGCGAGGUUCGACAUGGACAGCGCGACGUUGGCCGAUGGCUUGAGGAGCGCGCGGUCCACGUCGCCGAGGACGGGCACGCAGAAGGCGAAGGGCCUGGCGCUGGUGGUGACGACGGCGUGGCCCUCGUCGAUAACCUCGACUACGUGGCCGACGAUGAGGGCGCCGCUGCACUUGGUCUCAUGCUGGUACUCAUGCUCUGCCUCCAUGAGCCGGAACACGGGCAGCAGGUCCGCGAUCUCGACCCGCAGGUCCUCCUCCUCGCACUCAAGCAGGUCGAGCUCCUUCUCCAGGGCCAUGAACUGCCUGAACAGGUCCACGUUCUUGCCGACGUCGCCGGUGUCCAAACCGGUGCACAAAUCGUCCAUCAGUUCCCUGGGGAUCGGCAGCCGCGGAGGCAAGGGCAGUCCCGCCGAAUCGUCAUGGGCAACGCCGCCGGCGCAGAGAUGCUGUACGGCGAGGUCCGACAGUGGCGGGUGAAGCACUUUGGCUGACGCGGCCAUCGUAGGCGUACAAGUCCUCCUUGAUCUUUGCUAUACGGUGGAAUAUUAUAUACGAACACUAUGAACACCCUCCUGAUGAUACGGAACGAUUUAUAGACCGUGCGCGCGCGAGUCCGAAUUAGUCUUCAGCUCGGAAUCCAGUCCGAAGCGACCACGUACAGUUGGAUUCCUACUCCGACUGGGUAUCCUCUUUCGUUUCCUUGGGGGACAACUUACAAAUACGGCCAGGUCCUCGUCAAACCUUCGUACCAUCCGAGAGUCUCCAGACGUACCAGCGGGAAUUUGCCAGCAUGGGGAACUUCUACUCUUGCUGGGCAGAGCACUCGGCGGUAUGCAGGACGUCGUCGGUGUGCACAACGGAGGCCACCACCGGAGCGCACAAGUUCGUCGUCAAGAACUACUCGCUGCUUGUGGGAUCGGGCGCCGACGAGUACGUCAGCUCCAGCACCUUCAGCGUCGGGGGCUACGACUGGAACAUCUACUUCUACCCUGACGGUGACCGCCGGGCGCCUGACCACGUGGCGGCCUUCUUGCAUCUCCGCGGCGGCGCGGCGGCGGAGACGGGGGUCAAGGUGUGGUACCGCUUAAGCCUGCGGGAGAAAGGCGGCAAGGUGCACCCGGCUGGGCCGUUGCUGAUCCAAAAGUUUACAUCGGACGGUAAUAUUGGUUAUGGCAAUAUCCGGUUGGCUCACAAGUCCAAGCUACGAGGAGACCGCUUCACCAUCAAGUGUGAGUUGGUCGUCAUCAACAAGCCAACAGUGCAGGCGUUGUAGCAAUUUUCUUUCUGGCAAACGCUUCAUGUUGAUGCAGAGAUGCAGGUGUAAACACAGUUGUAGCCGACAGAACGAACGAUGAUUUUAUUCAUUGUAAACCCGGUUGUAAGCUGUAUGAACUACUGCAUGUAGCAGUUCAUGUGUGUUUAGCUCAAUGUUUUUCUAUUCUGAAAGUAAUAGACAGAUUGAGUUUCAUGCAUGACAGUUGUUUUAUUCCAAACUGCCUAUUUCCUUGAAAAACUUUAGAUCAAUUACUCACACUUCCUUCUCACAAUGCUUUUCUAGUAAUGCCUUCUGGAAAAGCGCCGACGUUAUACCUCCAUAGCUAGUGUGAGAAUGUUGAAGUCUGUAUUUUUUUUUCAGGAAAACUUUCAAUCUCCUCAUCUUCGAUCAGUACAAUGAACAUUCAAAAUAAUAAAAAUUACAUACAGAUCCGUAGACCAUCUAGCGACGGCUACAAUCACUGAAGCGAGCCAAGGUGCGCCGCCGUCAUCACCCCUCUCUCGCCAGAGUCAGGAAAACUUGUUGAAAUAGACAAUCAAGAAGUUGUCAUGCUAAGGUUCCAUAGGACCAAAGCGCACCAGAACAACAACCGCCAUUGAUGAAGAGACGUGUAGAUGGAAAGGAUCCGAUAUGACGACACACGAAUGUAGACAAAACGAAGACCGGAUCCGAGUAAAUCCACCAAAGACAACCACCGAUCGAAUCUUGCGAGAUCCGCUGGAGAUACAUUUCCACACGCCCGCCAACGAUGCUAGACGCACCAUCGAAACUAGUCUGGGCGGGGAGAACCUUAUUCCAUCUUCGGUGAGUCACCGUCGUUCCACCUUCCUGAGCAGCACACAAAGCCUAACAAAACUAAUAAAUAUAUCUAAAAUUGAAGCCCUCCCGCUAUUAAGGGCUGGGAUCCACCGCGCCCCAUGACCCUAGAGCCACCGGAGAUGAGGCGGACCGGCGGCGACGGCAGCAGGAGGCAGAGGAACCCUAACUUUUUGGAGAAAGAGGCGGUGGCUAUGCGUGUGUAAGUCUAUAUUACAAAGGACUGCAUGAAGUUCCUAACCUUUGUAAUGCAAACUUGGCCGCCGCUUGAUUAAUAAAUUCUCUUACUCUUUGUAAUAUAAACUUGGCCGCCGCUUGAUUAAUGAAUUGUCUUGCUCCUCACAAAAGAAAACGAAAAUACUAACGCCCACACGUGUGGCAGUUUUGCACUUCAUCCACACGCGCUAAUCACUGUUGAUUAGCGCGAAUCUUAUAGGAAUCAGCCGGCAUCUCCCGUGCCACGUAGGCAUAGUGAGGCAUGCGGGUGGUAGAGCGUUCCCCCGAACGUGUGGCACUUGACGCUUUCGCCCGGACGAGUUAUCCAUUCGCAGCUCCACCGCUUUUCCAACCCAUUCCCCUCCCCACCGCCUUCUCUCCUCGUCACUCUCGCCACUCCCCACCGCAAUCUCCAUCACCGCGCGGGACCUCGCCGACCGCCUCCGCUUCGCCGAGGUUGGUGGGGGAGGCCUGUUCCCGUUGCCGUUUCGAGAGACGACGGCGGCAGGGAGCAGAGGCUGCACCUCGAGGUCUCCAACCGCCUAGUUGGAGAGCUGGUUGGGCGCGCGCAGCGACAGGCCGGGAGUCAACACCUCGCCGUCCGCCUCCACAUCGCCGAGGUUGGAGGGGGAGGCUGGGGACCAGCUGGCCGUCGUUAACGACGGGCAUAUUCGUGGUGCCCUGGCCUGCUGCCCAUGGCAACCUCUCAUUUGCAGCUCCGCCGAUCUGCAUCACGCGCCGGAUCUGAUGGCCAUGGAACGACAGCUCGCGUGCCUCCGCCUCUGUCUCUAGGUACUCGCCGACCUCUGCUCAUCUUAUGCUCGCCCGCUCUGAAGCAACGCCACCCUCACCCCUCCAUCCUUGGAUUCUUACUCACCAAUCGGCAAUCCUGUUGUUGGUCGCUCGCAUCAUCGGCGUGAGGAGCGGGGAUCCUGGCUCGCCAGCGUUAGGCGCGGCAGCCUGUCGAUGGAGGCCUGCAACACGCCUGGCGCGAGCGUCGUGGUAGCGGGUCGGUGCUCCCGCCUGCGCGCUCGAUGCCUUUCAUGCUCCAACCAGCCCAAAGACACAGAUCUAGUGCAGCCCCACGGCAGCGUAUCAGCGGCGGGCUGCUAGGUGAGUGAGUUCCAUAACUCCAUCCGUCAUUUGUUUCCGGCGACUGGCAGAGGCGACGGUUCUGGCUCUGGGGAGAGCGUGGGUAGCGGACUGUUCGUGUUAGCCAAUCCCUGGGUGUGUGGUAGAGCAGUAGCAUGACAUUUUUCUGAUAAAUCACACUUUCUAGAUGUCUAGGUCCUCUCACACACAAACAUGGCAAAUUCUAUCAUAUGUGUGUGGCAACUUACAUCCACUGAGCCAUGGUUACCUUUUAUGUCAUUUUUGCCAUGUUUCAUCACAACUAUCCUUUUGAAAUUACUCCCACAACAUUAAAAUUGUAUGAAAAUGGCAACCAUGAUUAAGCUCAGAUGUUGUUCAUCAAUUUCCAUGGCUACAAUCGUUAAGCUCAGAUGAUGUCUAUCUCUACUGGUAUUUUUUGGCACUUUUAUUUGUACUGACAAUGGCAAAUUAUUUUCUCACCGACCAUGCGAAAUUCACAAAUGGCCAGACGGCAAUAUGACCAUGCCAAAUUCAUUUGUAGUUUUUUAGUGCCUCUUUUUUCAGUGAAAACUGAAAUGCUAUACAUUGUGCAAUAUGCUUUGACAUUGCAAUUUUAUUGGAUUUAGCACGGCAAAUUACCUUAUGGAACAUGGCAUUUUUAUUACAUUGACCAUGGUGAACUUUAUUAGCUUUUCUAAUUGCCGUGUGAGUAGUACUGACCAUGGCAAAUUUGAAUCGAUUACUUAAUUUCGUCUUCAAUUAGUACAAACUUCUUUUAGCUAUGUUUUCUGUUAUUGCAAUUGCAAGUAAGUUUUCCUGUUAGCUGUAAACUAUUCAUGGCAAUUCUUUUCUCAUGUUCUUGCCAUGCUUGUUUUUUCAAAGUUGUCGCGCUAUGUGUACAUAGCAUGCCAAUUUCUGCACUUGAUCACAUAGCAAGUUUAGAAAUUGUUCCUGUGACCCAUUUUUUCAAAGUUUGCCAUGGCAGAAAUGUCAUGUUUAUCUGCCAUGGCAAAUUUAGGUUUUUUUUAACAUGCCCACGACAAUCUUUUAUGCUUUUGUUUCUUACUUAACCACGGAAAAUUUAGUUUGUUGAUAAUGGUAAAUUUAGUUCAUUGACAUGGCAAAUUUAGUUUAUUGAUCACGGCAUGUCAAAUUUAGUUUAUUUGGUCCAUGGUCAAUUUAGUUUACUAGUCAUGGCAAUUUUUGUUUUCAAAUCAUGGCAAAUUUUAAUUUAUGUGAUUUUUGCCAUGGCAAGUUUUGAAACGAAUCUGCCAUGGCACUUUUUCUUGUUCAUACUUGAUUUUCAACUUUUUUUCACACACGACAAAUUCAUCAUUCAAACACACGGCAAUUCUUGAUACGAAUUUGCCAUUGCAUGUUUUGGUACGAAUCUGACGUGGCAAAUUUAGUUUACGAAUUUCUUCUUCAUAUUUUUUUGAUUUUCAACUUUUUGUGUUUUUUACACAAACGGCAAAUUCAUCAUACCAAAACAUGGCAAUUCUUGAUACAAAUCUGCCAUGCCAAGUUUUGAUGCAAUUUUGGUUUAUUGAUCAUGGCAAAUUUUAGUUCAUUGGUUCAUGGCAAAUUUGUUUACAAAUCAUGGCAAAUUCAGUUUAUUGAUCAUGGCAAAUUUAGUUUUCAAAUCAUGGCAAUCUAGUUUACAUAUGAAUCUGCCAUGGCAAUUUCCAAUAUGAAUCUGCCAUGGCAAUUUUUCUUGUUCGUGACAAAUUUAGUGAAUUUCGCCGUGGCAAGUUUUGAUACGAAUCUGCCACGACAUUUUUUUCUUGUUCAUACUUGAUUUUCAAUUUUUUUGUGCUUUUUUCACACACGGCAAAUUCAUCAUUCAAACACAUGACAAUUCUUGAUACGAAUUUUGCCAUGGCAAGUUUUUGUACGAAUCUGCCGUGGCAAUUUUCUUGUUCAUUUUUUUGAUUUUCAACUUUUUUUUGUUUUUUACACACACGGCAAAUUCAUCAUACAUGAACACAACAAUUUCUUGAUACAAAUCUGCCAUGCCAAGUUUUGAUACAAAUUUGGUUUAUUGAUCAUGGCAAAUUUUAGUUCGUUGGUUCAUGGCAAAUUUAGUUUAUUGAUCAUGGCAAAUUUAGUUUUCAAAUCAUGGCAAUUUAGUUUACAUGAUUUUUUUUGGCGUGGCAAGUUUCAAUAUGAAUCUGCCAUGCCAAUUUUCUUGUUCAUGGCCAAUUUAGCUUACGUGAAUUUCUCGUGGCGAGUUUUGAUAUGAAUCUGUCAUGGCAUUUUUCUUGUUCAUACUUGAUUUUCAAAUUUUUAUUUUUUUUCACACAUGGCAAAUUCAUCAUACAAACACACGGCAAUUCUUGAUACGAAUUUGCCAUGUCAAGUUUCUUGUUUCAUACUUGAAUCUCCAAUUUUUAUGUUUUUCACACAUGAUAAAUUCAUCUUACAAAACAUGGCAAUUCUUUGAUACCAAUCUGCCAUGGCAAAUCUCUUUUUGUUCAUACUUGAUUUUUUAACCUUUUGUGUUUUUUCUCACGCACGGCAAAAAAUCUCCUUGAAAACACUGCAAUUUUAAUUGCCAUUGUAUUUUUAUCUUUUUUUUGUCCUAUCAAUUUUUUGUGUUUUUUUCACAUGAAUUUUUCAACUAUUUGUGUUUUUUUUCACAUGGCAAUGUUGAUUUUUUGUCAUGGCAGAUUUGCCAUAUUUCAUUUGAGGGGAUUAAAUAUGUGUUUAUAUACCUUUUGCCAUUGUUAAAAACAAUACAAUGGCAAAUAGUUUGGUCAAACUUGAAUGGCAAUUUUUUUGCUUUUUUCAGUAGCUGAGCAAAAUCUGGGCUUUUUUUUGUCACAAAGAAAACCAAAAUCUGGGCCUUUUCAUUUAAUUCGUUGUCAGUGGGCCUUUUGUUCCUUUUUUUCACAUGGAAAAGGGCCUGGUGUGAUCGAGGCGUGUGGGGCUGUGGGUUCACCUUGACGAACGAAUUCGUGCAGGGAAUCAAUCCCCUCGUACUGAACGAGUCGUGUGGUAGGGUGCUCCUCCUGCCACACGUGUGGGCAGUUCUAAUAUCCGCCCACACAGGGCCGUGUGGGCUGCCUGCUGGAUAUGCCACACAGGGCCGUGUGGGCAGGUGUCCAUUGUACCACACGUGUGGCAGUUAUCGGCGUCUAAAGAAAAAGUCAAAAAAAUUGUAUGAUUACCUUUGAUUCAUAGGAUACAACUAGUUUGUUGUUUUCCGGAUUUGGGAGGCUCUUUUUCCUCAUCCCUUAUCUGUUCAAGUUGCAGCCGACAACCGUGGGUUCCUCCUCUGGCGGCGCCUUUAAAAUUUAAAGCUGAUAGGGUGUUAUGGCAUCUUCAAUGCUGACCCUCAAAUCCUUCGCGUCUUUUGUGAUAAUUCGGAUAUGUUUUGUCACUCAAUAUUAUUAGUUCGUGGACACGUUUGGACGUCCGAAUUCCAACAAAGUGAUAGCAAACCUGUGGGCUUUAGGGAGUCCGGACAUCCACCUAGCCAACCGAAGGCCACCAUGUAUACAUGCACUCCACCCCUCUCUCCUUAACCACGACAUGCACAUGUUCAAGAUUGGCAUCACACAACUUGCCCUUAUCUAUUCCGCACAAAACAUACAUGAGUAAUUACUCAUCUUGUCAAGAGAUACUUUAGCGAGUGCAGCUAUUUGGCUCCCGAGCUCAUCUGCUCCCGCAGUGAACAGUAAAUUCAGAAACAAUACUAGAAAAAUUAAAAAAAUCGAAAACUUUUUACAUGGAAGAUGCUCAAGGUGUGUGAGGUCUGCUCCAAAUUUCAGCUCUUUUUGACAUCUAAGUAGCUCUCGGCAAAAAGACAAAAUUGGGUUUGUGAAACAGUUUACUGUGCAUCUACUGUUCUGAUCCAAUUUGUCUUUUUUGCUGAGAGUUCCUCAUAUGUCAAAUGAUCUGAAAUUUGGAGCGGACCUAACGCACCAAAUCAUCUUCCAUGCAAAAAAAUAAUAUUUUUUUUGGAUUUUGUAAUUGUUUUUUUUUUCUCUUAACCGGUUGCAGAUGAGCAUGGGCUCAGAAAUGGAUAUUCACUCUACAAUUCUUAUCGCUACAAAGAUUAUACAAUCUGGGAUAGGUAAGCAAACAUCCCCGAUCCAGAGAUCUUACCAAAACCUGGUUCUCUCACCAUUGAAGAACUUUUUUUCCUACAAAACUUUAAAAGGACAUCUUUUACUUUCAUUAAUCCAAACCAGAAGUGGGAGUGCACAGGUUUCAAUUUACACCGAGAUAAAGUAACAUUACUAAGGUAUUUAAUCCUAAUUAAUUCCUACCAUAAACCCUCCUCGUUUUCGAGCUUCCACGGUAAUCUACCCCCUCUUUAAGGAAAUAUAAAAGCGUUUAGAUCACUAAAGUACUGAUCUAAACGCUCUUAUAUUUCUUUACGGAGGGAGUACUAAGUAGAUAAGUCUAACACCCCUGCUUUCUAGGUUGACAAAUCUCCUGCCAAUUAACUACCCCCUCCGUUCCUAAAUAUUUAUCUUUUUAGAGAUUUCAAAUGGACUACCACAUACGGAUGUAUAUAGACAUAUUUUAGAGUGUAGAUUCACUCAUUUUGCUCCGUAUGUAGUCACUUGUUGAAAUCUCUAGAAAGACAAAUAUUUAGGAACAGAGGGAGUAGAUGGUACUUCUUAAUAUUCUCAUCUUCCUGCCAAAUCAUUAUUUUCUCAUUCUCUUCCCAGGACCAAUGGGCAGAUCAUACAUAUAUAAAAUGUAUAAACGCACAUUACUAACACAAGAUCUACUCCCUCCGUCACAUAAUAUAAGACGUUUUUGUUUUUGCAAGCUAAAACAGCUUGCAGAAACAUCUUAUAUUGUGGGACGGAGGGACUAAGUAAUAAUAAUCUAUCGCCAGAACACAUCAGUUUCCCUUUCCCAGUUCCAGCUUUGUUCUCUACUUUUUCCUCUGAAUCUUUCCAAUCACUAUUUCUUAACUUUCUACACAAGUAAAUAUAGAUCUAUACUCCAAAACUCUAUCCUUAGCUUUACCCGACCAAAGGAGCAAUGAGACCAUAUUCUACAACUCUAUUAAUAAGUACCGAGAAGACAUCCACUACAGUGUUAAACAAUAUGGGGAACAGAGGGUCCCCUUGCCUCAAACCUUUUCUAGUGGGAAAAUAGGUAUGAAUAUUCUCACUGACCAUAAUAGCCACCUUACCAUCGUUAACAGUACUCAUAAGUCAUAACCCACUUUACAAAUUUAAUUGGGAACCCUUUCAUAACCAUCACCUUUUCUAAAAAUCCUAGUUAAUUUUGUCCUUUCUUAAAAUCAAGCUUGAAAUUAACAGCACUUCUUUUCUUAACUCUAAUCUCAUGAAUUAUCUCACGCAACAAUAGCACACCAUCUAAAAUAAACAUAUUUCUCACAAAAGCCGUCUGCGCAGGGGAUAUAAUCUUAUCAGCUACAACAACGGCUCUGCUUUGACCACAGUAAAAGUCGUAAAAAGAACAUUUAGCAAACAUAUAGGCCUAUAUCUUUGGAUCAUCAUUCCCUUUAGGCAACAAAGUAAUAAUGCCAUAGUUAAGUCUUCCUACAUCCAACUUUCCAUUAAAAAAAUCAUGAAACAGAGGCAUCAAAUCAUCACAACUCAAGUCCCAGAAAUGCUGGAAAAAGUCUGGGAAACCCAUCAGGACCUGGGGAUUUAUUAUGUUUCAUCUGGAAAACAUCAUGUUUUACUUCCUCAACUGUAAAAGGUUUGAUCAGCAACUGCUUAUCUAUAUCAUCAAGCACACAUUGUGAAGGAACAUCUAAAGAGACAUUAAUAACACUAGCCUCUGGACCAAAGAGCUCUCUAGGGUAUUUAAUGGCAUACUUAAGUAGUAUGUUAUCAUCCCCUACAAUCAAACCCUCCUCUUGUUGUAGAGAUAAUAAAAUCUUAUGUUUCUUCCGUUUUCUACCACUAGCUUUAGCCAUAAAAUAUUUAGUAAGAGAAUUUCCCUGGAGCAGGUCAGUGUCAUUUGACCUCUGAUACCACUUCACCAGCUCCUCCUUUCUAAUAUGUUGUUACUGCACAUCUAGAAUUUUUCUAGUCUUAUACUUGUCUACAGAUAAAGCAUAAUUUCACUCUCUUUGUCUAUAUCAUCGAUAGCAGUUUCCAAAAUUUUCUUCUGUUUUCUAUAAAAACUUUCAUAGUUAAUGUUCCAUUCUUUCAACUUUUUUGUCACUACUCUAGCUCUAUUCUGCCACUUAUCUAACUUAGUUGUAUCAAAAUGAAAUGCAUUCCAAACUUUGCUGGCCACCUCACUUAGAUGCUCUCUAAGAAACCAGCAUAACUCAAACUUAAAAGGCUUUACAAUUUUAGGGAUAUUUAAUGCCAAAUUAACAACUAAAGGCAAAUGAUCAGAGAUAGUUCAAGGCAAGAUUUUAGGAAACAUUUGCUCCUACCCAUUUACCAUUAUAAUCUUGUCCAAUUUGUUAAAUAAAGCAGAGCUAUGGUUAUUACACCAAGUAAAACAACCACCUGCAAUCUCCACCUCUUUACACUCACAAUGCUCAAUAAUAGUACUAAAAGAUUAGACCAUUUAUUUAAUCUCCUAGCCCGACUGCUAUCACUAAUUUUCCUAAUCAAAUUAAUGUCUCAUCCAACUAACAGAGGGAGCUCAUUACAAUAAAAAAUAUGCACUAGCUCAACCAAACAGGCUUCCUUGUCUCUUCCAUGAGCAGCCCCAUACACAGUAGCUAAAUUCCAUUUGUUAUUAGAGCUUUUCUCUCAAACUAUCAUUCUAGCAUGAAAAUCACCUGAUUCAGCUUCCAUUACUUCAAAGCAACCACUAUCCACUCCUAACAUAAUACCACCACUCAGUUCUACUGAUGGAACACAUACCCAGGAAAAAUUCUUUCUACCACUAAUAUUAUUUAACCAAUCAGCACCAUAACUAGUCUUCUUUGUUUCCUGCACACCUACAAAUAAAAUAUUAUGUUCUACAAUAGUUUCUUUAAGAAACUUUACUUUAUUAGCCUCCCCCAUACCUCUAGCUACAUUAAAACUAUUUUUCUUAGAGCCACUACAAAGCAAAUCUUUACUGCUCUUACCAGGACUAGCCUCAAAUAGAUUGCAUCUAGGUUCUUCUAGUUUCUUUAAAACUUCUACAGGUUGCUUAAUUUCCUUCUCAUUUCCACCGAAUUUAACACCCACAGUAGCAGCUAAACUUAAUACUUUUUCAUGUGCAGCAUUUAAAACUGUAGGAAAUAUUAAGGAAGUAGACUCACCAAUUGGAAAUUCCAAAUUCUUCACUUUAGCCCUGUCCAUUGCUUUCUCCAUUACAUGCUUAUUUGUGACAUUCCUGCUAGUCCUCCUCCUAUUCUCAUCCACUAUAUUAUCCUUUUCCUUGCUGACAUUUCUCAACACAGCUCCAGGCUCCACUUUUUUUGCUUGUAAGGACUGGUCUCUAUUUGAAUUUUCCUCCCCAAAAUCACCUCCAACCAGUUGCUAACCUAUAGCCUCCUGCUCCUCAUCAAGUCCUCUGUUUACCUCUGCAAUCACUUGUGUACUAAGCCCCAGUCCUCUUGCAAAGCUGUCAGGAUCAUCCUGCAUAUCCUGAGAGAGCCCCUGGUUAUUAGCACUAGAGACACUUCUUCCUCAGUAUCUGAGCAUUCCACACCAUCCAACAUUCUGGUAUCUUUUGCAGAUUGUUUAUUUAUUUCCUCGACUUCAGUUACCUGCUGCUGUCCCAGCAUAUUUUUUGUUUUGUAACAUUUUUUGUCCUCCUUUCUUCCACAGUGAAUACAAAACAGGACAGUUUUACACUCUUUCACUGCAUCUACGUGCCUGGGUUGAGCACAGCGAAAACAUCCAGCCUUCUGCCCCUCUUCAUUACCAGUACCCCCUGAUGCUUGUGGUUCAUACAUAACCUAUCACCUAACUAGUGCAUCCUUAGUUACUGCCUCAUUGUACUGACCACAGCUAGCAACAGAAAUCUAAAAUAUCACUAAUAAAUAUGUUGAAAUGGUUACAGUAGACACAAGGACGGCUAGAAAAAUGCACGGGUUUAGUAGAUUCAUAAAUGUUUAAACUAUCCAUGAAACAGGAAAGAAAAAAAAAUGUUAACAGAGGGAAUGAUACAUCGCCAUGUUGCUUUGAGGCUGCUGUCCAACAAGUUGUGCCACUCGGUCAGGGAUUGAUAAUACGAUUACAAUUUCACAUUAAAUGGUAAAUCGAUCCACUCAUUCAGAAUUUUUAACAAACAAUUAGAACUGACAACCGACUAAUAAUAAACUAAUUUGGGAGAACUUCCAAACACCUACCGCACCAAAUCACCGACAACAUGUUCAAUCAGUGUAAUACACAUACACAAACCAGACAAACAAGACAAUGUACCUUCCUACUCCAACCUUGAGGUGGAGAUAACCCUGGCGCCAUCUCUAUCAAGCUGCGCGAUGGUGGCGGUGGCUUUCAGCUUCCCCACUGAAAGGAAGGCGUCAACCAUCCUCCGGGCGACCUCCUCCCCCUUCUCCUCUCCCUCAAUGACAGCCACAGCGGUCGGGCCCGCUCCACUGAUGGUGGAUCCCAGCGCUCCGGCUUCCAGGGCAGCGGCCUUCACCGCGGCCAUGCCGGGAAUCAGCGGGGCCCUGGUGGGCUCGACGAUGAAGUCAGACGACAUUGCCGAACCGAUGAGGGCGGCGUCACCCUGCAGGACGGCAGCGACGAGCGCAGCAGCCUGGCUGGAAUUGCGGGUGUGGUGGCUGAGGGCGACGUUCUUGGGCAGGGCGGCGCGCAUCUUGCUGGUGGGCGCCUCGAACUCAGGGGUGACGAGGACGAAGCAGAGGCGGAGUGCGGGAGGGCAGGGGAGCUGGACGAGGCGGAAAGGCUCAUAGCUCCGCACGAGGACGAAGCCCCCGAGGAUGGCCGGGGAGAUAUUGUCGGCGUGGAAGCCGCUGACGGCCUUCUCGGACUCGAGCCCCGCGAGCACGAGGCCGUCGCGGGGGAGCAGCGAGCCGAAGAGCGCGUCCACGGCCUUGGCGGCGGCGGCUGCGGAGGCGGCCGAGGAGCCAAGCCCCGAGCCGAGCGGCAGGCCCUUGGCGAGGCUGAGCGAGACGCCGUGCGAGCGGACGCCGAGGGCGCGGAGCGCGGCGACGGCGGCGAUGCCCGCGCAGUUGCGGAGAGGGUCGCGGGAGAGGCGUUCGGCCAGGCGCGGGUGGGACGGGGAGGUGAUGCCCGAGAUGGCGACCGUGCCGGCGGGCAGCGUGGGGUCGAGCGUGGCGGUCACGGUGUCGCCGAGGGAGAGCGAGGCGUCGGCGACGGCGCAGCCCAGGAAAUCGAAGCCCGGGCCCAGGUUUGCCACCGUGGCCGGAGCGAACGCCGUGACGGACCUGAAGGCCGGGGGCGGGUCGGCCGAUGCCGCCGCGGCGGAGACUCUGAGCUUCCUCGAGGCGCGAAAGGAGAGCAGCGGUGCCUUGCGGGUGGAGGGGAAGGAGGACGGCGCGGUGGCCGGAGACGCCGCCGCCGCCAUUGCGGGGGGUGGCCGGUGCGCGCGUGGGAGGGUGGGGUUUGGGGAAAAGAUUUGGGCUUGGGCUUUGCCUUUGGGAACAACCAGAAGUCUGAAGAGUUACUGGCAGCCGCGGCCCGCCACCACCGCGGCUCCAAGAACAAUCUCCACCACGCACCGGCGAUGGCGAUGGCCGCCCUGCUCGUCGUCCUCCUCCUCCUGGCCGGGGGCUCCGCGGCCGCGUCGCCGCCGCCGCCGCCGUGCAGCCGGUCGUGCGCGACGCUCAACUGCGACUGUAAGCCUCCUCUUCCUCCCCUGAUCCGGUCAAUCGAGCGUGACGAUUUCUUUCUGAUCUGAGCAUGCUCUGACCAUGGCUGGGAUGGGAUGGGUGGCAGCGGUGGGGAUCCGGUACGGAAAGUUCUGCGGCGUGGGGUGGAGCGGGUGCGAGGGCGAGGAGCCCUGCGACGACCUCGACGCCUGCUGCCGCGACCACGACCACUGCGUCGACAAGAAAGGUACAUCAUCCCCUUUCUAGCUUCAGAAAGAAACAAUGGCGUCUGGAUUGGUCAGCCCAGCCCGCCAUGAACAACCAUACGCUGCAAUGUAUUGUUUGGGCAUGUGAAUUCGAAUGGUACUGACAAUUGAUAAGAUGAGCAUUGGCUAGACAGUUUCAGAAUUCAGACUUUCAGUUGCUGUUUGCUCUGCCCUGCUCUGUCAUUUAGUAUUGGCAAUGCAGCGGCAAUUUGGUUCACAAUUGCCUCUAUGAACUGAUGUUUUCGCUCAUCUGUCGCUCAGUGAUAAAUUGUGUGUGGUUAAUUUACUAGAUAAACUACACAGCUUUGUAGUAUGCACACCAGAAUGCAUCGGGGCAACCGGACAACUUACAUGUCUGGUUAACCGUUUCCUGUCAGUAUACAGCUAUGCUCUGCACCAAUUCCCUUGUAAAUUCCACAUGUUAUGUACAGUAAGUCGUGCAGCCGCAUGGAUUGGGCGAUAUGUGUUGGCGGUUUGGGUUCAAGGGGGGUGUUCAACAUUGCAUCAGGUUGACAUGGUUCACAGUUUUUUACCUCCAAACGACAGAUGACAGGCGGUUUGGAUUCAAAGGGGUGUUCAACAUUGCAUCAGGUUGACAUGGGUCACAGUUUUUUACCUCCAAACGACAUAUGGCACCCGCCAGAUCGAUUAAUGACAUCUCCACAAUCCUAUAGUUAUACUGCAUUGGGACAAGUCACAGUUUUUGGUCAAUAAUUUUAUAUUAUAAUCCGUAUUUGUCAAUUGCGGCUGUGUCUUCACAGCUUUGUAGUUCCCUGUUAAAUUUCAUGUGUCAUUGAGUAUUGUACAGCUAAAGAGUCGCAUGGGUGUUUGUGUACAAGGGGGGCAAUUGUUGAACAAAUUGCAUCGAGGACUUCAUAUGGGUGGAACCUCUUUUUACCUUCAAAUGACAGAUGACACCCGCCAGAUCAAUCAGUGCAUUCCCCGCAUUCCUAUAAUUAUAUUGCUUUGUUUAUCUUACACCAUGAGUAACCAGUUUCGCUGGGACAUGUAUGCAUGCAUGAAACACAACGGAUAUAUGAUGCUUGUGAUGCGAAAGAAAGUUUGCGCUCGAGCUGUUUAUCUGAAGAUCUGUACUCUGAAUCCUCAAUCUCAUGGUUCUUUUUCUUUGCAUAAAUGUAAAUUGAUCAGGCCUGAUGAGUAUCAAAUGCCAUGAGAAGUUCAAAAACUGCAUGAGGAAAGUGAAGAAGGCUGGCAAGGUCGGCUUCUCCAAGAAAUGCCCGUAUGAAUUGGCUAUGGCGACGAUGACUCAGGGUAUGGACAUGGCGAUCAUGCUCAGCCAGUUGGGCAGCCAGAAGUUAGAACUGUAGCUUUGGCCUUGGAGAGGUACUUGGCGCAUUGCUUCGUUGAUUGAAUAUUGACUUCCUUUGAUGAUUAUACUGUAAUUUUACUUCAAUUGGUAAAAUCACAUUGUUUUGGGCAGCCAUAGAGAUAAUUUUAGGUUGUGGUGCUGCUUGCAGCAUAUAGUAUCAGAUCUUCUGCCUGGGCAUUUUUGUAAACAGAGUUGCAAUAUAAUUGAAUCGAAAUCUCAUCAUUCUCCAAUUUGAGAAUAUCUCUUUCUUCAU
rnacentral:lncRNA from 1 species